AUCUCCUGCCGCAGCUCCCGGAGCUGCUCUGGAUCAAUCCGAACCUCCAUAGAUGGUGUAGCUGAGGAGAAAGGUCCGGCAAAGGUGGUAGGAGCAGGAGGAGUGGAUGGGAGGUCUGGAUGGUCUGGAAGGUCUGGGUAGUCUGAAUCUGGCUCAAGACUGGGUGAUGGUCUAGUGGUCUGAGCAGUGAGAGUAGACUUCCUAACCCAGAUCCCUUCUCUCUUCUGAAAUCCCAUCCUGUGCAUAGUCCCCGUACACAAGCGAUCAGUCCAUCGCAAGGCACGAGAGGGUUCCCUCUCCGGAAUGGGAAUCUCGUACUGCCUAAAAAGAAGAGUGAAUAACAUCCCAUAUGGGAGUGAGAGCCUAGAUCUAUCUAGGGGCUCACACAUAUACCUAUAAAUGAGCUUUGGGAAGUUGAUCGGGGUGUCCUGAAGGAUAUAAGACAUAAUAGCUAAGUCCCUCUCAUUCACAAAAUCAAAUCUCCCUGUCUUAGGAAAGAUGGACCUGGACAGAAUGCUCAAAAGGAUUCUCACUUCAAUAGGAAGUGAGCUAGCAGAUACCUCAUCUAGGGGGGACUGAGGUGGAUGCCCUAAGACGACCGUAAGGGCCGCAACUCUAUCCUCAGGGUGUGCGGGAGCCACCCCUACUAGUGGAAGGUGGAGGAUGUGGCCAAUNNNNNNNNNNNNNNNNNNNNNNNNNNNNNNNNNNNNNNNNNNNNNNNNNNNNNNNNNNNNNNNNNNNNNNNNNNNNNNNNNNNNNNNNNNNNNNNNNNNNNNNNNNNNNNNNNNNNNNNNNNNNNNNNNNNNNNNNNNNNNNNNNNNNNNNNNNNNNNNNNNNNNNNNNNNNNNNNNNNNNNNNNNNNNNNNNNNNNNNNNNNNNNNNNNNNNNNNNNNNNNNNNNNNNNNNNNNNNNNNNNNNNNNNNNNNNNNNNNNNNNNNNNNNNNNNNNNNNNNNNNNNNNNNNNNNNNNNNNNNNNNNNNNNNNNNNNNNNNNNNNNNNNNNNNNNNNNNNNNNNNNNNNNNNNNNNNNNNNNNNNNNNNNNNNNNNNNNNNNNNNNNNNNNNNNNNNNNNNNNNNNNNNNNNNNNNNNNNNNNNNNNNNNNNNNNNNNNNNNNNNNNNNNNNNNNNNNNNNNNNNNNNNNNNNNNNNNNNNNNNNNNNNNNNNNNNNNNNNNNNNNNNNNNNNNNNNNNNNNNNNNNNNNNNNNNNNNNNNNNNNNNNNNNNNNNNNNNNNNNNNNNNNNNNNNNNNNNNNNNNNNNNNNNNNNNNNNNNNNNNNNNNNNNNNNNNNNNNNNNNNNNNNNNNNNNNNNNNNNNNNNNNNNNNNNNNNNNNNNNNNNNNNNNNNNNNNNNNNNNNNNNNNNNNNNNNNNNNNNNNNNNNNNNNNNNNNNNNNNNNNNNNNNNNNNNNNNNNNNNNNNNNNNNNNNNNNNNNNNNNNNNNNNNNNNNNNNNNNNNNNNNNNNNNNNNNNNNNNNNNNNNNNNNNNNNNNNNNNNNNNNNNNNNNNNNNNNNNNNNNNNNNNNNNNNNNNNNNNNNNNNNNNNNNNNNNNNNNNNNNNNNNNNNNNNNNNNNNNNNNNNNNNNNNNNNNNNNNNNNNNNNNNNNNNNNNNNNNNNNNNNNNNNNNNNNNNNNNNNNNNNNNNNNNNNNNNNNNNNNNNNNNNNNNNNNNNNNNNNNNNNNNNNNNNNNNNNNNNNNNNNNNNNNNNNNNNNNNNNNNNNNNNNNNNNNNNNNNNNNNNNNNNNNNNNNNNNNNNUCUCUCUCUCUCUCUCUCUCUCUCUCUCUCUCUCUCUGUACAUAAAGUUACCUCAUGCAAGAAAUGUUGCACCUUUCUGCAAUUAAAUACUAAUCAUCUGUUUUCGAAAAUAAAGUUAGAAAUAUUAAUAUCUAGUUGAGGAACACCGAGUUCCCAUCAUAUCCAGCCGACUCAACAAAACUGUACGUGAGUUAAAAAUAAUAUCUAGUUGGAAGCUUUUAUUAGAUAAUUGAUCAUACCUCCUUAUUUUAAAUGCAGCAAAAGUGACCUCAGACGCUUGCGAGACGGCACUUCCACCUUGCGGAGCUUCCAAAGUUCCCAUCCCAAUCCGUCCCUGCCGCCUCUUUCUUGUGUCUCGCCAGUACUCGUUGGCUGAAAGAAAAAUAUUUUUUUUAAAACUAAUAUCACCUUGAGGAAAAAAUAAUUCUAAUACAUAAAGAGUUUUUACAGCUUUUUCUUUGUUUUUUAUAUGGUUGAAUUUACAACUUUUCUUGAAAGCACUAUUUUUUUUUAUUAUUAUUGGAUCUAUAAAAAGUUCUACCAACUAUAUAAUGUUCUUAUAUAACACGCAAGAGAAAGAAACAAGUCUAGUUUCUAGAUAAUGUCCUCUCAAAAAAAUCUCAUAGCAUACUUUUAUUUCUCUUUUGAUAAGAAAAAUAAACUCGAGCAUGAAAGCAAAGAAACUCCCACCUUCCCUUCUUAUCCCCUCACCAAACCCCACCUCAUCGUAAUCCAUACACUCCAAAACUUAUAUUAAUCUAUAACACAAGCUAACAACAUGAAGGACCAAGUCAGAAUCCAUGCUUUAAAAAAGCAAUAAUAAUAACUUUAUAAUUAUCUCUAAGAAACAACAUAAGAAAAAGUUAUAAAAACUUGUGAACACCUAGCUACAAAGAAUAAUUGCAAAUUCCCUGUACACCAACAAAUAAUCGUGAUAUAAUUCCAAACCUAAAAAUACAAAAAAAGAAAUAGAUAAUGAACUAAACAAAGGCGGUCGCAGGCUCUUCCGCGACCGCUGACUUUCUCUGAGUCGAAAUCUUGAACGGCCGCUUCUUCAGCGACAGAGGACUCUGCACCUCCUCCUCGUCGGCCGCCGCCAAACGCCAACUCGCGGCAGCUUCGGACCCGAACUCCGGCAGUGGCGGCAGGUUCAGAUCGAACCCCCUCAGCCCCGAGCUCGCCGCCUCCAGCGUCGUUAUCCCGCUCCCUCCGGUGGCUCCAGCGCCGGCGCCGCCGUCGUAGUGGCGUCUCUUGUGGCCCCCCAGCGCCUGCCCCGUCGGGAACGUCCUGUGGCACACCGAGCACUCGUGCGCCCUCCCCCCGCCGCCCGACGAGGAGGCGGAGCCGGUAGAGUCCACCUCCUCCGCCCCCCGCCGGGGGUGUGGGGCGCCUUCCGGUGGCUGGCCUUGUGCCCACCAAGGGCCUGGUAGGAACCGAAGGCCUUACCGCAGACGGAGCACUUGUACUCCUGCCUUGUCUCCGGCGGCGCCGGUGGCGUGGGGGACGGGAGGCGGCCGUGACCGGCUCCGCCACCGCCACGGGCAAGCAUCAUGAGGCAGAGCGCGAGGUACUCCUCUUCAGUCGGGUGGUGAUCAAAGAAGCGGUGACGCUUCGUCCGCUUCCGCUUUGCCCACCCCUCCACCCUCUGCGGCGGCGGCGGCGGCGGCGACGCCUCUCUCGAUUCAGCAACACGAGACUUCAACACCAAAGCCGGCACCGGCGCCGGAGUUUCCAGAGCCAUCAGAGCUCCAAACAGCAACAAGAUGAGAAGAGUAGAAGAAGAGUCGAAGAAGAGAAGGGGUUCAGUUGGAGAGAGAACUAAAGAGUAGAGAGCAAGGAAAGGGUGUUGGGUGGCAUAAAUAGGUGGUGGCGAGUGCCGUCAAACUUGGGGGGGAGUUUGCUGGAGCAGGUUAAGCGGCGCAGGAACACGUUAAGUAGCAGGAGUACUGCAGCGAGAGUCGACUUGUUCUUCAUUCAAAACAAUACAAAACCGUCUCUCACGAUGGAGAGAGUCUUCUCGUACUGUAAACAAUAACGUACGAAUACAAGACUAAUAUGGAGUUAAAUUUAAAGAAAGGAGACAUCUUAUUGGAUAGAAUGUGGACAUAAUACUGUAGAGAAGGGACACCGUACCGUAAUCCUAGCCUUUUCGUGGCUUUUGCCUUCCUACUGUGCCACGUGGCAUGUAUAUCUGUAAAUUAGAACUGACCUUUACGCGAAGGAUAAGGAAGUUUGGGUGUGAAACAGUGCGAGAGGUUGACACGUGUUUCUCGUUUCCCCUUUGCCCAUUCAAUUCAUAUGUUCGUCAAGCCACGUAACGUGUGACCGUCUAUGUUUGGUGCGGACCACGUGUGUAAUCGGGGUGUUGAAUUGGUCUAAUUCUCUUCGGUCGUCUCCUCGGCUGCGCUUGGUCUCAGNNNNNNNNNNNNNNNNNNNNNNNNNNNNNNNNNNNNNNNNNNNNNNNNNNNNNNNNNNNNNNNNNNNNNNNNNNNNNNNNNNNNNNNNNNNNNNNNNNNNNNNNNNNNNNNNNNNNNNNNNNNNNNNNNNNNNNNNNNNNNNNNNNNNNNNNNNNNNNNNNNNNNNNNNNNNNNNNNNNNNNNNNNNNNNNNNNNNNNNNNNNNNNNNNNNNNNNNNNNNNNNNNNNNNNNNNNNNNNNNNNNNNNNNNNNNNNNNNNNNNNNNNNNNNNNNNNNNNNNNNNNNNNNNNNNNNNNNNNNNNNNNNNNNNNNNNNNNNNNNNNNNNNNNNNNNNNNNNNNNNNNNNNNNNNNNNNNNNNNNNNNNNNNNNNNNNNNNNNNNNNNNNNNNNNNNNNNNNNNNNNNNNNNNNNNNNNNNNNNNNNNNNNNNNNNNNNNNNNNNNNNNNNNNNNNNNNNNNNNNNNNNNNNNNNNNNNNNNNNNNNNNNNNNNNNNNNNNNNNNNNNNNNNNNNNNNNNNNNNNNNNNNNNNNNNNNNNNNNNNNNNNNNNNNNNNNNNNNNNNNNNNNNNNNNNNNNNNNNNNNNNNNNNNNNNNNNNNCUGUGGCGCUGAAACAGCGUGGUGAACACCCCAGAUAUCCCUGACCAGCCCAGAAGUGACUACCGAAGUCGCCCCAACAACCUCCCUCGCAAGCAGCAGCGCCCGGUCUACCACCAACCUCAGAGGCGCCCUCCUCCCCUCAAAUAUACCAGUAUUCCUGUCCAACUAUAUAUGGUAGGACAGGUACGCUACACAGAUCCCUGCCUCAACAGAUCUGGGAUGCCGCAUGGAAACUCUCAGCAGAUGGAUCAGAUCCUGCACCAGCAUCACCGAGGCCGGUAACUGUAUCGGUGACCUCCUCCAUAUGUCUCGGGCCCUAGGGCACUGCAGCAAAACAUAAAGUAUUUCAUAUGUCUUGGAAAUUUAAAAAUCUUGUGGAUGGUAAAGAGACUACUGGAUCAAUACCCUUCACACUGACAGAAGAUGAGAAUUUGUUUUUAAUAAUUUCGAAAAAAAAUGUGGAGCUAAUGGUUUUUGCAAGCAAUUGAUAACCAACUAACUAUUCAUCUCAAUAAAACAGCGUAAUAGAGUACAAACAAAGGAUUUUAAGGGAGACCAUAAAAGGCAUGCUGAAGCUUUAGGGAUUCCUAAUAUUUUUGAGUCNNNNNNNNNNNNNNNNNNNNNNNNNNNNNNNNNNNNNNNNNNNNNNNNNNNNNNNNNNNNNNNNNNNNNNNNNNNNNNNNNNNNNNNNNNNNNNNNNNNNNNNNNNNNNNNNNNNNNNNNNNNNNNNNNNNNNNNNNNNNNNNNNNNNNNNNNNNNNNNNNNNNNNNNNNNNNNNNNNNNNNNNNNNNNNNNNNNNNNNNNNNNNNNNNNNNNNNNNNNNNNNNNNNNNNNNNNNNNNNNNNNNNNNNNNNNNNNNNNNNNNNNNNNNNNNNNNNNNNNNNNNNNNNNNNNNNNNNNNNNNNNNNNNNNNNNNNNNNNNNNNNNNNNNNNNNNNNNNNNNNNNNNNNNNNNNNNNNNNNNNNNNNNNNNNNNNNNNNNNNNNNNNNNNNNNNNNNNNNNNNNNNNNNNNNNNNNNNNNNNNNNNNNNNNNNNNNNNNNNNNNNNNNNNNNNNNNNNNNNNNNNNNNNNNNNNNNNNNNNNNNNNNNNNNNNNNNNNNNNNNNNNNNNNNNNNNNNNNNNNNNNNNNNNNNNNNNNNNNNNNNNNNNNNNNNNNNNNNNNNNNNNNNNNNNNNNNNNNNNNNNNNNNNNNNNNNNNNNNNNNNNNNNNNNNNNNNNNNNNNNNNNNNNNNNNNNNNNNNNNNNNNNNNNNNNNNNNNNNNNNNNNNNNNNNNNNNNNNNNNNNNNNNNNNNNNNNNNNNNNNNNNNNNNNNNNNNNNNNNNNNNNNNNNNNNNNNNNNNNNNNNNNNNNNNNNNNNNNNNNNNNNNNNNNNNNNNNNNNNNNNNNNNNNNNNNNNNNNNNNNNNNNNNNNNNNNNNNNNNNNNNNNNNNNNNNNNNNNNNNNNNNNNNNNNNNNNNNNNNNNNNNNNNNNNNNNNNNNNNNNNNNNNNNNNNNNNNNNNNNNNNNNNNNNNNNNNNNNNNNNNNNNNNNNNNNNNNNNNNNNNNNNNNNNNNNNNNNNNNNNNNNNNNNNNNNNNNNNNNNNNNNNNNUUUAACUUAUUACUAACAAUUUAUAUAUAUAUAUAUAUAUAUAUAUACUGCAUAUUUUCUUUUUUUCCGAUUAACUUAAUUCACUUGAUUUUUUAAUACACUUCAUGUAUAAAUGGUUGAUGGCGUGGUUAGACGGGUACCUUGACUCGUUAUCGGGUGACAUCAAGUUUUUUAUUUUUAUUUAUUACGAAGGAUGACUCAUACCAGUAAUACAUCAUGUUCUUAACUAAUAAACUAUAAUAGUAGGCGAGGGUCUGGGUUAAUUUCAACUCUUGCUGAGAAAAACACAAAUCAGACCUGGUGCCGCUGUUAACUAAUUGGCUAAGAGUUGAGCCUUGCAGGGUAGAGGGAUAACUGGUACAAGCUUGUCAACGGUCAAAAAUCAUAGCAAGAUAAACUACUCGGCUUUUGCUUUUUCCCCUGCUUUCUCACUGUAACCGUUGGUCCUCCAAUGGCAGAGAAAGGGUGGCAACAUAGCAGAUUGAUUAUAUAGUUAGUUCUUUUGCCUUAUUGACUUGUGAAUGGGGGCAUAGGUCAGACUCUGUAACUUCUGCUGCAUGUUCUUUCUAUAUCUUCUCCUUCAUAGGUAGAAAAUUAUAUAUCAAAUAUUGACUUGUAAUAUAUGUGGCACAAAAUCCAAUAAAUUUCUUAUUCAUUUCCUUGAUUGUUUCUAAAAUAAAAUAAUGAACACCUACAACAGUUGAAGUAAAAGAGCCAGUUGGAGAUCAGAUGAAGACAUUUUCAUUAAGUUAUCCUAUUCUAACAGUGUACGCAACUCACCCUUAAUUUUGUUUUAACGAAAAUAACAGCCAUUAAUUCCCGACUUAGUUGUCCACUGGAGUUCUCUCUUUUUUUUUCUCCAGAACAAAAGCUGUCAGAAUACACACGUAAUAACAAGAAAUAGAAUUUUUAAGUAUUCUCCAAUAAGCAUUCUACAAAUUUUAACUACCUUGUUUCUUGCGAUGAAAAACAACUUAUGGAGGAGGUGCAGGCAAUGCCUUGGGCUUUGGCUUGACUUCGACCUCAUUCACAUUCCGCACGAAAAUGGCAUCGGGUUCAUGACUGCAAGAUGAUAAAUAAAUUAGUGAUUGCACCAUAACGGUGGCAUUAUUUUAAUAGGAACGAAUUUUAUGAGGUUAGCAAAAUAAUUUGAUUCACUCACGGUGUAUCCCCCUCUUCGAAUGUGUAGCUGGAUGCCACAGCCAGCAGACGUCCAUCUCUACUGAAGGAUAACGCUGCAAUACUGGUUGGGUAUUUUGAAUACUGUAAAAGAACAGAACAAGAAAAGAAAUGUUAUGCAGAGCUUCUCAAUGGUGAUGUACAGGUGUUGCCACUGUAUGAAACUAUUACCUGGUAUAAUCUCUUCUUGUUGUUACCAUCCCACACAUUUACAUAUCCAUCACAGCCUCCAGUGGCAAAUGUUCCAUAACUACAACAGCCAAAUUUAAGGGCAAAAGAAAGGAAUUAAAGGAUGCGUCCAAGUGUGUGGGUGUGACACACAGAGAGAGAGAGAGAGAGAGAGAGAGAGAGAGAGAGAGAGAGAGNNNNNNNNNNNNNNNNNNNNGAGAGAGAGAGAGAGAGAGAGAGAGAGGUGUGUGNGUGAGAGAGAGAGAGAGAUUUUACAUGGGAUGGAAUGCUAUUGCAUUGACUGGAUAAACAGUGUCCUUCCCAGCCUCUGAUUUUCGGUGGCACUUGAAUGCAUACCUGGAUGAAACAUUAUUCAGUUGAGGGAAUCGAAGAUCAGGAAACGUAUAGAAACACCGAAAUUGUCAUAAACACCAAGCAAACAAAAGGAAGUGGAAUGUUGCAAGAAACAAAUGCUUUGGAAAUUUAGUAGUACUUGUAGGAAAUAGAGAGGUUAGUUUCAUUCUAUUGAUUCCUCAUUGAAGCAACGGACUGCUUUUUCUGCAAACAGACUAAUGAAGAGGAAGUCGCUGCAAAUAACAGUGCUAUCUCAACUGUCCCAACAGUAAAGUACUAAACAAACAGGAUUCUUCAUGCAAAGUAGGAAUUCUAAACAUAAAAAGUGCUAUAUAAUGAAAUGUAAGUUUUUCCCAUCAGACAGCUAAUCACCUAAGUCCACUCGGAAUAACAACUUAGAGGUUGAAUACAUUCAACAUUUGCUUCUCUAUCUCUGCACAGAUACAUUUUCAGACAUGCACAUUUAUGUCCUGAUAGAGAACUAGCACUUAGCAGAGAGCAGCUUUAAGUGAAAUCAGAAUUAAUCACAUCAUUGAACAAAUCAGUCUCUACCAUAACGUAGUACCGUCUGUACGAUUCAAGGAUCUACAGAAUAUGAUCUCAAAUAUGUUGAAGUAAAAGCAGCAUAUAUCUUCUGAAGCAGAUGUGUUCCUAUUUCUAGUAUUCAUAUAAUGAAAUUUAAGCAAAAGAACAUACUUCUUAGAUUGGCCAGCCUCAGAUAAAUCAAAGAACUCCAUAGCAACCCGACCUUCCACAGAACUUAGGGCAAAACCUGAAUCAAAGAGCAACCAUAAAACAUCAAGUACAGCAAAUAGGGUGACUGCAUUAUUACCAAUAUAUGGAAUGUAAAAGAACGAAAGCAAGUGAUGCAUGAAAUUUAAUAUAAGAUACUAACUAGUUGAGAAGUAUUUGGAUACUAACUAGAAAAGUAUUUGGCAUGGCAGCCAGUUUUAGAAAUUUGAAUGUUAAAUAUCAUAUGAAGUUCAAAAGAGUGCCGAUACACAAUCUCUUCCAUCAUGCUUGCAGAACUAGUUCGCAAGCAUAGCAUCAAAAGAAGUCUGAAGCGGCAAGUCAAAAAAUGUACAUUCUGAUACCACUUUAAUACUAAAGCUCAGUUGAAUUGUCACAUUAAAGAAAAGGUGAAAGUAAGGAAUGUAAACUGUAGAAAUUAGACCCCAAGAUGUUCCCUCCUGACAACCCUCCAUUUAUAAUACUACUACUCUUAAUUGUCAUGAUCGCUCAUCGUCACAUGAUCUGAUCAUCAUUAACCACAAAGCUGAAAAUCAUAGCCAAAGGCAACUGGCAAAAUUAUACACUGUACUGCAAAGAUAAACUUUCCUAGCUGCCAAAUUGUCAGCCUUAGGAACACAGUUACAAACUUGUGAAGCGUGAUUUCCCAUUGGGCACCAAGCAGAAGACUUUUGCAGCUUUGCAACAAGCCAUAUCCCGGCAUGUCAGAUUAAUGGUGAAACAACUAAACUAAUAAAGUAAUAGAUUUUCUACAUUAGAUGAGUUUGAAGCUGUUUUAAAGCAAAUAUGCUUGACUCCUUAUGCUUCAGGUCCUUGCUUCACAGUUACCUUUGGUGACUAAACUGCUGCAGAAGCAUAAAAUGUUCUUUAAUAAUACCAAUAGCAUCUUAAAUGGCAUAUUUUUCAUACUUCGUAGAUAUUGAUUUUGAAUUUCAGACUUGCCCACUUUGUAUCCAGAAAUAGGCUUGUAGAUGUUUAUCCAUUAUCUGUCUUGAGUGCUAUUCUCACAACUAUAGUAACCACAAAAGUGCAAUUCUGAAUAUAUAGACCGAUGCCUUUGUCAACAUUUUAUCCUAUCGAAUCCAACCUUGCCAACUAUUUUAGCUAAGUCGAUGCUCCUAAUUAUGUCACACGUCCUUCCACCAAGGCAUUCUUAAGCUCAACACUCACCAUUUAGCUGCGGUCUUCUCAAAACUCCUCUAUAAAUCUGCUACUACCAUCAAUAUUGUCAUGUUAGUCUGCUCAGAUAUGUUGAUGCAGCAAUGGAUCUGACUCAGGUACAAGAUGCCACAUGACCUUUAAGUCACUCCCAUUGCCCAUCGUACAUCCUUAACCUCUUCAUUUCAAAUUUAUAAACUUGAUAGUCCACUCCAUGCUGCCUAGCAAUGCACUCUUGCAUAUAGUUUCCAAAUAAGGUGCAAGAAUAAUACACAAAAAAGAGGUGGGGAAUAAGCAUCCCCCUCAAGUGAAAAAAAUAAAAAGAAAGAAAGAACACCGGAUUUGUAGAAGUAAAACAAAAGGGAAAUGCAUGAGAAACACGUGACUACAGGCUAAUCAUUCAGAAAUUGGUUGCUGGAGGUUUCUUUUUUUAUUUUGUUAAUGAAAUUCUUUUGCUUAUAUUCUAAGUAUGUAGAAGUUUCAAAAUUUUCCCAUUUGAGGAAAUCAAAUUGACCUUCUUACAGAAGCAGCUUUCUCAAGACCCAAUAUGCUGCACAAGAAAUGAGUUCCCUGGAUGCUUUCACAUCUUACACCAAUUCCACUAACCAAUUUCUUAUCACUUACUUUGUUUUCUUGUCCAUUAAACCAAGGCCUUAAAAAGCAAUGGUGGUAGCUGUUGGUUGAGGUACCACACAAUGCACAUGCAGUAAGUAGCUGCAAAUAUAGGAGACCUAUGUGAUUGUUAUUUUUGAAAUCCCUAGAAGUAAAUAAAAUAUGAAAAGUAUAUAGAAGUAAACAAAGUACAAAAAAAAAUUCAAAAAACUAGAAAAAAUAUUAAGUAUACAUCGUUACACUUAUUUGAGAGCAUAUCUUACAAUAAUAUGACAACUUAGCAUUUAAAAAAAAGAAAAAGAAAUUUCUUCAUAUGGUAUGCUCAAAUCAAUAUGACAUGUUAAAAUAAAAUUAUAGUGAGGAGCAAGAGGUGGUGGAGUAGGUUCUUUAUGAGGUAUGCUCAAAUUUCAGGUCCACAAAUACAACAGAGAAAUCUGCAAAUAAUCAAAUGAUGAAUAAAAAGAAAAUAAGCAGCAAGGAUUCGUGACUUAUUAGCUUAAAGUGUCUACAUAUUAAACAAGAUACAUAGUAUUUAAACGACCAAAAUUCGUAAAGGCAGUCAAAAGUCAAAUCUUCUUCAAGAAAUGAUUUACCGGACACUUUCAUCACAAACCGUAUGUGCCCGGGCUGCAUAUGUGAGAUAUUAGGUCCUAGGUGGCUCACUAUGCAACAGAAUGCUAAUGCAGAUGCAGUGCAGUCACCAGGCUGCAUCCGCAUACGCUAGCCCAUAUUCAGCUGCCUAGACCACAUUAUUAAAUAUUGCAUUAGAUUUCCUUUACCUUUUUAUUUUGUAAACCAGCUUUUUAAUUCAAUUCCCUUAAUGCAGUAUCCUCUUCUAUGUAAAUUGUGUGUGAAACAAAUGACUAAGAUUUAGCUGCAGAUGUGCAGGACUCAGUUAUGUGUGGAGCGCCUAUAUCUUCAUUAUCUGGUAUAUCAAGAAAUGUGGUUGUGUCCUUUUCACCCGACUCUCUUGCUUCAUAAACUUAAGCAUGCAACUACAUCCAGGCUUAACUAUUUAGGACAAACUGGUUUUGGUUCAAAACAUUCAAGCUAUCAAUUCCACUCAUCCCCCAACAAUAAUAGUGAAUGUACUUGUUUUUACCAGAUUAAAUGCACACAAAUUGAGGUCCACAUCCUUGGAGAAAUUAUACAUUAUUUAUGUUUUCCCAGAUAUAUCAACACGAAAGAAAUGUUAAUGAUUUAAAUUUAAUUUCAGGUUCAUAGUUGUUUGUUAUCUGUGGUGGUGGAUAGGGGCUAAUCUGAUGUUAUUGCGAGCUUUUCCAUGACUUUUACCAAUGUUAAAAUAGAGUUUUCCCUUCUUAAACCAUUGAAAAAAGAUUAGACGACCUUUACUUACCAAAUCCACCUCCGAUCUAUCUAGCGAAAACUACCACCUCUUGCAUAUGACAGAAAUUAUGCACAAUGCUAAGCUAUGUAUUUAACAAGAACACAUUAAGAAAACAAUAUAAAGCCCAUCUAUAUUAAUAAAAAAGAAGUUAAAAUAGCAACAAAAAAAAAUUCCAAGGACUUUUUAUGAAUCAACUAUCUCACUAGUAAGUAAAUGCAUCCAUUCAUGAAUGACAUGCACAAAUAUCCAUGUGGAAAUUUUAAAACUAUAUCAACUGCUUCAAGUUCUUAUAAAUGUUCACCUGUGCCAUUGGGAUAACAACGGACACAUCUAGUUUGAUAUUUCAACGAAGACUCCCUCCGUUGCUCCGGUUGAGACAUAUUGCGCAAAUCAUAGACAUUCACAUGCCUUCCUGCAGUUGCAACAACUAAGCGGUGGCCAACGAGAGAAAGUGAAUAUACACGUUCAGGUUGUGGAUACGUCCCGACGAGAGUACGAUCUGGCCCACUUGCACCUCUAGGAUCCCAGCACUUCAGUGUUUUGUCCCAACUACCUGUGAUUACUUGUCCUGACAUGAUAUAAAUAGACAAAUCAGCACACAUCAUAAAUGUUGCAUAUGACAACUUAUUGUUUGACAUCAUAUUGACGAGUCAGUACACAUCAUAAAUGUUGCAUAUGACAACUUAUUGUUCGACAUCAUACUUACAAGAUCAAAGUGCAAUAUACCAUGAUAAUGCAUAAAUAAUAUGAUGGGAUAGCAAAGAAUACAUACAUCAGAUAGAAUGCAUCACCUAGUGCUAUCAUGGAAUUCAAUCAGUAAAGCAAAUUAUUUUCUAAGACAGAUCAAAGACAAAUCUAGUUACAACAUCUAAUGCUAUAUGAAUCUCAAUGGCAUUAAGGCCGCAUUUGGAAGAAGAAUAAAAGGAAGUAGAAGUCAUUUAACCCAGUUAUUCCAUUCUUUUUCAGCCAAACACUCAUUGGAGCAUUUGGAUCAAACUUUUCUUUUUGAAGGGAAAACAGACAUUUCUAAAAAAUUUGGUAAACAACUGUUUGCCUCACAAACCCCUUUUACCCACUUAACCCAGGAAUAAAUUACUCCAUCUAGGGUAUAGUAAUCUAUUCCGUAGUAAAGAAGAGCAGGAGUAACUUAGCUCAUUUAUUUUGGGUUGAUUUAUUCCUCUUCCAAAGUAACCCAAAUUAUAUAUAUAGAAUCAAUGGCAUGACUUUACUUACGCAGAGCAGAACCGGGUAUAAAAGCAGAUUCAGGUGCAGGUGUGGGAAACCAGAUCGAGCAUUUAGAAUAGGAAACUUUUAGCAAGUGCAGGAAUGGGUUCUUAGAGAGAUGCUAUAGCAUGUGCAGCACCCUAACUAGAAGUUUCGAGCUACAAGCAAUGUGGCCCAAAAUGAUGACUGAAAGAGGAAGUCCUUGCAACAUCCCAACCUCAGCUUCAAAUGGUAGUCAAAUCUAUAGAGUGAUCUAGAAGUAGGAUAUCCAGAGAAGACUGUAGAAUGCUCAAAGAUGACCAAGAUGCCUGAUAUAAAGGCCAAUGAGGUUACCAUAGAUUCAUCCUGCUUUCAAGAGCUAUCUUCAUUAGUUUUAUGAGUAGGUUAUAAUGUGAGCUCAACUGCAAUACCAUGUUAACACAGCGGCCAGUGAACUGAUUCUGAUAUAACUGCCUAUACUUAUCACAGAGUCAGACAAAAAUCUCAAAAAAUAGAUCUCUUGUUUUUGGUGUUGUUUUACGUAUUGGCAAGUGACAUUAAAAAUAGUAAUGGCAUUUAAUUUGUUCAAAAAUAGUAGACAAAUGCAUAAUAUAUAGCUUUUAACACACGACAAUGAUAAAUUCCAUAUUAGAAAUUAUUGAGUUCCAUUAGCUAUACUGACCAAAUAGACAGGAACAGAAAGUGAUGCAUGCAACAUUGUGUAAUUCUUUACGAACAAGAACCUAAAAUUGAUUAAUCAAUCAGCAUAAAGCAUAAGCACCGUAGCCACCAAAUGCCAGAGAACCCUUGGAUAUCUUUUAUUGAUCCAAUAGGUGAGUGGGAAAGAAACACUACAAAUCACAACCAUAACCACAACCAUCUCACCUUAUCCUAGCUAUUUAGGUCAGCUUUAUGGAUCCACAUUCUAUUUAGGGCCAUCUUUGAUGCCAUUCAAUGUCCCCCAUAUCUUUGUUCACAACCUCGUACAUAUUACUUUAAAUCUUCCCCUCCUUGUCCCGCAUCCUUCAACAAUUCUCUCUCCUUACUAGAGCCCCCUCAUAUUUUCAUUGUGCAGCACCUAAAAAUGCUGUAAUAGAAUUCAUAUUCUCAAUCUAUCCGUAUACCAAAAUUUUUUUACAUUUACAUUUCUGCCACACUCAACUUGUUUUCCAGAACAAUCUUUAAUGCCUAACACAAUACAAAAUUUCAGGCCUUAUUGUUAUCUAUAAAAUUUUCUCUCAAUCCCCAAGUUGUGCAUCACUCAGGGGAAAAUGAAUUAUCAACACUGACAUCAAUAGUUCUUGAUAUUUUUAGUUAACAUGGAAUUAGAUGUUUGCUCAACCAAUUAACUUUCCACUUGAGAAAAGUGUCUUUUAAGGUAGCUUUUCUAGCCAACUUGUUUCCCAGGUUGAGGAUUAAAUAUUUAAUAAUUUUUGGACAGACCAUAAAGAGCGAUAUUAAUAUAAAGUGGUUCGAAGCUUAAAAUAAGUCAGGUCAAGAACUAAAAUAGGUGACAGCAACCGGAUACAUGGUGGAGUACCCAAAUGUCAUGGUAACUACAAUUUAUGAAAGACUGAGCAAACAAAAAGGAUAUCCACAUCAUUUGAUCAAGAAGGGUUAUUCAUUGAUGGUCCAAACAUCUCAUCUGGAAAGGUAAAGGUUAUAUGCCAUGAUAGUAAUUCUGAAAAAUCGGAUAUAUGUAUCUUCAUCUUUCAAAAUCACUCUCAAGGUAUACUUCAGAAUAUGUGGCUUGUUGUAUGCUUUUAUGCACAUCGAACUUAGGAACCCACCCAGUUGCCAUAUUCCGAGAUACUUUACAUGGAAAUGCAUACAAUCCUCUUAUAUUUAUGCAUAUAUAGCCUCAUGCAUGAUGCUAACAUUGAUGAGAAUUUCUAGUGAUUUGAAUUAACGAAGUGAAGAACAUUGGCUUGCUGGGUUGGUGGGUUAUUCCUUGACAACAUAACACAUAUAACCCAAUUGCUAGCUUUAGGGGAUGAGGUAGAAACAUAAGUAAACAAGAUGCACCUGUAAAAACCUUUCUCAUUGAUUAUAAUAACUUUUCGUAGUUGUACUAUAAUCACAUCAAUAACUUAUAAUGGGUGUUUUUAUAGUUGAAGCACAUGGAGAGUGAAUUCACACACAGUGGGAUAUAUUUAUUUUAGUUGAUUAUCUGAUUUGAAAUUACGGAGGGCGAAAGGUUCAGACAUAAAUCAAGUUUAAGGCCAUAGACUUGAGGUCAAUUAACAAUAAUGUAAUUAAAUUAUAUCAGACAACACAAGAGACUUCCUUUGAGAUUAGAGUUUCUUAUUUUUAGACAAAAAAAAAAACCUUCAUCUCCUUUUUACUGAGCUCAAUUUCUAAUAAUACAUUCUGUAGAUAAAAAAUCCAAUUUAGAUGGAACAAGAUAAUAAAUCUUUUCUUAAAAUGUAACCUCCUCCACUUGUGUCCUGAAUCUGAUUAUUUUCCACUUAGAAAUUCAUGAAUCCCACAUACAGGUUUCAAAGGCUGUUUGAAGUUGCAAAGUUGAUGGGAGAAGCAGAUGAAAAUUACUGAUGUUGCUGUAUAUUAUUUUUUGACGAUUGAUUCAUCAAGCAGAGUAGUCAAAUGUUGGUGUCAACCAAGACAGAGCUGGUUAGAUCAGAUUUACCAAACUGGCACACCAAAGAUCAAAUUGGCAAACUCAAAUUUAUCUCUAAAAUCCUUAGAUGUUAUGCCAUAAGGAAAACAAGUGGAUCCUAUAUAAAAUAAAAUAAAAAAUAAAAAAUGAUUAACCUUACAGGAAACCUUGAUCCAUCAACUUUCUUAAGCCUACAUUCCUAGCCCAAAGAGUUUCCAUUUGUUUAUCCUGGUUCCACAAAUUUCCAUUUAAUUAUUCUCAAUAAUCCAAUCAAGAAAUUUGUACACAAGGAAUUAUAAACAUGGAUUGUCAUUUUUUUAUAACCCACAAGUUAAACAGGUUAAAUGUUAAUAGUACCAUGAAUGUGCUAAAGUUACACAUACAAGGGAAGCAAUUUAGGACCCAACUCACUACGAAGCAAACAUGGGCAGGCAUGUUUUAUUUGCAGGUCAGGUAUGGGUCAAGCAGCAAUGACCACAAGUUAAACAGGUUAGGUGUUGAUAGCACUACGUUGUUGAUGAUCCUUAUCAAGUAGGGAUUAUUGUGUUAGUAUUGAUAACUAAUUACUAUAACCAGAGACAGGAGAGAAGCAUCAGAUCAUGUAGGAUUCAAGAGGUUACAAAAAUUUGUUAUGCAGGUCGAUGGAUCAAGAGCAGAUCAGUAGAAUGAGCUACUACUACCUAGUGAGUAUGGCUUGUAUGGUCUCGAAAAACAAUGAGUAGUCAGGUCAUUCAGCUCUAAGUCAAGCCUAUAUAUCUUGAUAGACAAGGCUAACCCAACCCAAACCAUUGCAACUGCCAAGUAUAGAGCUAUGGGUCUUAUGAUGGUUAUUUAGUGACUCAUAAGAGUCAUAAUGCACAGAUUAAAGUCUUUCAAUAUUAUAUUAAGAAUGUAAAAUAGGAUGUGCAUAUAUGGGUUUUUUUUCUGAUAACAAAUUUUUUUCGAGAUUCAUAGUGCAGUGCACAAAGUCAUCUAUAUAGAUUGAUUACACAAAACAACAAACAAAUUUUGAAUAAAUUUAACAGAGAAUACAAUUGCAUGCAUAUGAACCUGUCAAAUUGACUGAUCCAUGAAUGUGCUUUAUAAGAACAGGAAUAAAAAAGGGGGCAACACUGCAUCAGUUCAAAAAGAGUGAAAAGUUGCAUAAGAUCAUUUAGUUUGCCUAUCUUGAAGUACCCUAUGUUAAAAGUGAAACCCUUAUAAGGUUCAUGUCAAUAUGCAAUCAUUGAUGCUUGCCUUAUAAAGUUUGAAAUUUCAACAUAUGAUCAGUAACAACAACAACAAUAGUAACAAUAAUAAUGAAAACUUUCAGUUGACAUGGUUUCUCUGUAAAACUUAAUAGCAUAAUAAACCAAAAAAUUUGGCAGCUAUAUAGUUUGAGUAUACAAAUAGCCAGGCAACCUGCUGCAUAAGAGUAUUCAACACAACGCACAGGAGCUUCAUGACGUCCCAAAAUAUCCUCCUUGCCAGUACCGAAGACAAACCUGAAAUAGGAUGGUUAUUGUAAAAACUUUGACUUAAUUGAUUUUCCAACAAGGUACGGUUAAAAUUUUAAAUAUAGGUUAUACGACAGAUAUUCAACAUUUGUUGUAAAAUGGAUAGGCAACCAAGCACCAAUCAUUGCCUUACAGCAAAAUUUUGGAAAAAUUAUGUUCGAGAAAGUUCUGUCUACUAAUAAUUGAUGCAAAAUGUUUGCAACAGAACAAAAAAUAUAUAAGGAUGAGCUAUUGAUCACAAGGCACCACUUAAAAGGGGAAAAAAUCUCAAGUGGGUCGCAAAGUAUCAUUCCAGCUGCUUGAGAUUUAAGAUGCAAUUUGAAAACAAAGUGCCAUUUUAAGACUUUAUAAUUCUACCUAUGUUCCAUGAAUACCUUUAUUGUGAGGUUACAUGCAUGCCUUCAGCACAUCAAAGAUGAAAAGGGCUGUGGAAAAACACAUUUCCAGGGGUAAAAAGAAUUUUGAAGAUAAAAUUUACCAAAAGGAAAGAGUAUUAUCUUGCCACUGUUCUUCAAGAUUUCCUUCAAUAUUUCACUUGAUUACUUGAAUUGCAAGCAGGUAUUAGGUGCAGGAUGGGACCAUGUCUUUUAAGUAAUAAUAAUAAAAAUAAUAACAAAAUAAUAAUAAUAAUAAUAAAGAAGUAAGGAAGCUUAGAAAGCAAAAGUGUUGUUAGAAUCAGUUACCUAGGAGCCCAAAAGGGCCACCGCCUAGGCAAGGCCCAACUAAAAAAAAACUAACCCAUUUAACCUUUAGCCGUUGGAAACGGUUUAGACUGCAAUAUAUGGUAAUCACAACACCCGCUUCCUCGUCUCGUUAGGCAGCAAGUGUCCCAUUUUAGAAGGAUAAAAAACCCAGCUUGCGAGGGACCUUGUGAACCCAGAAGUUUACUCUAGCUAGGCAGGCCAUGCUUUCGACCCACAUGCCUUUCAAUGAGAAACAAGAAAAAAAAAAGAAACAGAGUGAAAGCCAUUUGCCAUUCGGGUCUAAGUCGGGUCCUAUCAUCACCUUUUCUUUUUCCCAUCCUCUUCAAACCUUCCUCACCCUCCUAUUGAUGGCAACAUUGGCAUGAACACCUCGACUACCUACUUGGUGACCUCCCUCCAUGUUCUCCUACCUUGCCCCUUCUCAAACUACUUCAUCUUCUAGGCUUGACUCAACUGCAACUUCUACUUUGUUAUCAAUGCCUUACUAGCAUCCUGUCCCCCUUGCUAAUAACUACACCUUGACUAUGUAAGGUUGCUGACAAUAUGAAGUUAUUUACAAUUCCCCAUGUUCGAGCUUGAUUCGCGGUAAACAAAAAGUUCAACUAUUGUCGGCAAUUCUUAGUAUAUAUUCAUCUUGCUAGAAACAACUGAUUCAAGGUAUAUUGCAUAGGUACCACAUAGGCUCUCUUUCAAAGAAUCAGCAUUCAUUUUUCUCUAUAUAGAUUAUCAAUUUGAUUAAAGGAAAACUAUUCAGUGGUUAAAAAAUUAGGUGUUUGGCUGACUGAGAUCUUGAACAAUUAUGUAGGUACAGACCUCCAUACUCCUCUUAGUUUAUGUCAAAAUUCUGCAUAUGGAUUAAUAGUUAUAGAUGCUUGCAUGUUCUUCCAUACCAUGCAAAGAAUCAAACUUGAGAAACCUUCUUGAUUAGUUGGGGUCAUGGGAAAGGUGUUAUUAACAUGAUAAAUAGACCCCAUGCCUUCUUUUGAAAAGCAACUGUUUCAUAUCUUUUAAAAAACAUCUGUUUCAUAUCCACUUAUCCAAACUUUAUUUCCUUCCUAAUUCCUCCUUUGGCAUCAAUCAAACAUCAAUCUGUAUUGGUUGUCUUUGACAAUUGAUCGUGCCAUAGACUCAAUCUGGAAUCAAUAUUAAUUACCUUCUUCUAUCAACAGUGAUUACCAUGGGUUUCAGUAGGUUCUCUUUAUAGUGAUUACCAGUGGAAAGGGAGACAAAGCAACAUGAAAUGAAGGGCUUCUGGCCCUAAAAAAAAAAAAACUUUCUCAUUAUUUCUUUGUUGAAAGCCAUGUAGAUCCUCGAAAGCAUGAUCCGUCCCUGCUGAAGUAAACCACUCACAAACAUCGACUAACUAGAGAAAGAAGCAGGUGUUGUGAUCACCGUACAUGGCCAUCUAAAUUGCUUCCUUACUUGUUGCCUUUUUUCUCUUCUUUUUUUAUGUCUCCUGCCUCAGCAGCACCCAACCUGGAGAGAAGCAAAGACCCAAGCAAUGGUUUGUAGGGCUCCACCAAUAGGCAAUGGAUAUGGGCACUGGAGGCAACAGGAGACUCUAUUUUUCCCCCUGCUUUUCCCUAUCUUAUUUCAUCUUUUUUUUUCUGCUUAUGUUAUUGUUUUUCCACUUGCUCCUUGGUGGCUAAUGACCCACAACCUGCUUCUUCUCCUUCCUCUAUUUCCUAUGUUGCCUUGUGCUUAACGUUGCUAAAGCUAGCUUAGAGGUUGUUGCUUCUAGGACUCUUAUUCUUCUCUUUUCUCCCUGCUCUGUUAUGGUCUAAACAGAUACUUAUAACAUUUUAAAUGCCUUCCUCCCUAGGUGACCACCUAGGCUUGGAAGGUCCAAGACCAGUUCUCACCUAAGCAACUUCACUAUCUUUUGAAGUGGGUACUAGAGCAAUGUCUAGGAAAAUUGUAAAGCAAGUUAAACUAGUUUCCCAAAAAUGAUAUCCGAAGAAGGUGGUUCCAUCCAUGGUUUCAAAUCCCAAUGGGAUGUCUUGUAGAAUGUUGGGAAAGUAUCAUCCCAAGUAUUAGGACAAGAUUGUCCCAGCAUCCCGAUUGGCACAUCCUGGGACAUCCUCAUCCUAUAUAUCAGGACGGGGCAAGAUGGCAACACAUCACGUUCCGCGAAAGAACUAAGAUGCCCCAAUCCCAUAAGAUUUAAAACCUUGGUACUUGCACCUACCUUUAUUUUCCCUAUCUUUAGUAGUAUACUUAUUUUUCAUUCUUAUAAUUUGCAUAGCGGUAGAAGUAACUGUGGGUAUCUCAUAAUAAGUAGUUGAUGAAAAGGUGUUACACUAGGUGCUACACCUAAACAAUCAACUAGAUAAUAGAAUUACAUACGAGUUCUAACAUUCCCUCUAAAACUGAAAAUAUUUGAAGGUGUGGCAAUUUGACGCUGACCUACCUCCCCAUCCAAACCAAUGUAAAAUAAAUGGGCCCAUGAAAGGGUUUUGCAAUAAUUUGGUGGUAUCAAUUAACCGAGCAACCUGGUUAUAAAUGGUUGGGUAGGGGUUUGGCUCUUCAGACCCAAUGUGUCACCAUGGACUAGAUAACCCUUUAAAAUUGAUUCCUCAAAGAUGGCCCUAACCAUGCAAUGGUUUAUAGCCUGGUUAAGGACUGAUUCAGAUAAUUAGAACUGUAGCAUGAUUGGUGAUUAGAGAAUUUAAAAAUAUAUAUAUUCAAUAGAAGUAGAGGAUGGAGUGUUUGAGAUUUAUCACAUUUCUCCUCCACCUUAUUUUUUUCUUCUCAUUUUCUCACUUUAUUUGAAUUCAAGUUCUAAAACAUCUGUUUUGUAACCAUACUUUGCUAUAGUUUACUGACAUAUGUAAUUAACAAGGAAAGCACUAAUCAGGUUGGCAGGUUGGGUAUGGGUCCAUAUAAAGUAAAUGGGUUUGAGUUUAGCUUUUUACUUUCCAGUCCGAUUACCUGAAUAUAAACGGGUUGUCAGGUUGGUACAGGUUGAGGAUUUUUUUUACUCGUUCAAAAUUUUACCCAAUCCAACGUGGUACAUCGCCAUCCCUAUGUUUGAUAUGCACAAUGUUUCCACUUUGUGACCCUUAUCUUUCAAAGGUUGCAGACCUAGAGUAGAUGAAGAUAACAUUCUUAUCGCGAACAUGCAAAGCAUUGAGGCAUUGUUAUCACUAAACCUGAUUAAAGAGGUGAAAGGUUGAGCCUAGGUUUAGAGUUUAUUGUAGAGAAUGAGGCUUACAAUAUGAAUGGAACCUCAGAAAAAUUUUCCUGAAUGGAAAAUGAUUCGUACAGCCAAUCCCAAAUGUGGGAAUAUGGCUAACUAAAUAUGAACACAGUAUCUAACAUCAUCUCUUUCUAGCAAUUCCUCAGACACAUGAAGAAGACAGUCUAAAUAACUAUGGAUGUUUUCACAGGUCCAAAGUUUUUCAGAUAAUAUCAGCGGUACCAUCAUCAUCCUUAGACAACCUAUAGCGUGCUGCAAGUACCACUAGUGAAGGCUCUACUUCCCCAACGAGAAGGGUGAUGUAUAACAAAGCAUGAAACCUACAGCAAAACCAGCCUAGCCAAAACUAAACGACAACAAACCCUUCUAAUAAGAAAAGCAUUUUUGUUUGUGUUACCAUCCAUGCCAGGGUGGGAGGGGGAGGGGCAGCCUAAUUCCAGUUCCCACUUGAACAGACCAAUGAACCAUAACAGAUAUAGCUCAUAAAGUCCAACUUUUUCCAUCUGGAAUUCACAGGGUUGCAUAUGCAAUGCUGUUGUCAAUUCUACUUGCAAACUCUAAACUUGAGAUAUACAAGCUAAAGAUGGUACCAAAGAAAGAAAAAGGAAGCGCUAAUAUGUAUGAAUUCAAGCUUCUAAUUACGCUGAGAACUUCCGUGGCCUACAGGCUACAGGACAUAAAUGCAGUAUUAUACUAAAACAGCUAAAAUAGCAAAGUCUUUUUUAUGAUAAAAUGAGAGAGAGGCGCUUUUGGUCACAAUAGAUCAAUUUUUCAAUCCCAUCAAAUGUUCAGCAUAGCUCAAAAUUUCAGAAGAACUCGACAGCAGAACUCAAGCCUUAAAAGUCCCCCCCCUUACCUCCGGACCGUGUUAUCAGCGCUGGCACUGAAACCAGAGAAAUCAUCAUGGAAGCAGCAGUCGAGAACGGGGCCUCCGUGCAUGAACUCCCCCUUGAGGACAUUAGCACUCGCGUCGUAGAGCCGAACAGUCUGAUCAAAGGACAAGGAUCCAGAUCCAGUGAUAGUUAAGAACAAAACCCUAGUCAGAUACGAUUAGGGUUUUGGUGGGGGAGGGAGGGGAAGAGAGGAGAGAGGAAGAGAGUUUACCUUGUCCCAGGAGGAGACCGAGGAGGUGGUCGCUGUGGUUGGAGAAGCGAAGGUUGGAAAUGCCAUCGGAGGGGGGAUUGGAGAGCUCCCUCCCGCCGCCGCUGCUCGUAGGAAGGACGGCGGCGCUCAUGGCGGAGGCCGGAGAUCGGAGCGUCGAGGGACUAGGGUUUUGGCUCUUGGGGAAGAAGGGAAAACGGAGGAAAUUUGAAUUUGAUGGAAGCUUUCAACAAAUCGAAAGAAGAAAUUUUGAUGAGAUGGCUGAAUCCUCGGGGAGGAGAGCGGGCGGUCCAGAGCGGUUCAAAAUUUCGGAAUUCUCUUAUUUUGCCCGUUGAGCACGUGCACCGAGGAAGGAGGGAUCAGUGGUCGCUACGGUUUAACCUGGUCUGGGCUCAAUCCGAACCAUGCCAGCCCAAUUCGCUUGUGACAAAGAUUUGGGUGCGGUUUUACGGUUGGUUUGGAUUUGUAGCGACGUUAAUCAAAAUCCGACCCCAAACCAAUCGAGAUUUAAAAUAAGUAAAUGUAUCUUUAUUUUUCAUUUAACUAUAAUUUAGUUUUAAAAUUACAGACUUGUGUAACCGUUUCAAAAUAAGCCCAUCUAACGCAAAUCCAACAAACUGUUUAGAAAUAUUUCCAAUCUUAAAGUAUACUAGCCAUGACUUUGUUUGCAGGUACAUAUAUGUACAUUUAUAGUUGGUAUAUUCAACAUUGUUUUUGCAAGCAAAUCAGUGUAUAGUUUUAGUUUGGAUAUUUAACAUAAUGUGACAAGAUUUUUUUUGAUAUUAGACAAAAAAUAACCUUAUCAUUUUAUUUAGAACUUUUUAUAGAUAUUGGUGAAAACUCUCGCUCUUUUUAUUCAUUUUUUUUAUGUGUACUAUUCUCUCACCACCAAAAUAGUGUAAAUUUUUUUUAUAUUUAACUAAUACCUUUGUAUAUUUCCAUCACUAUUUAAUGGCGAUCUAGCUUUACAUUUUUCAAACCCUCGGCUUAACUUUCUCCACUCAAUUUUGAAUGUAAUGUACUUUGAAAAAGUUUGCCUUGUUGAUGUGUGGAGUGGUAAUCCAAUUCAACCAACUUAUAUUUGCCAACAAAGCUAGGUAACUUUGUUUCAUUACUUGUUAAAACAAUAGGUGUAUAAGGGUAACUUUGAUCACUUGAUUUACUAAUACAUGUUAUCGGAAACCAGUAUGGUGGGUUGAGUUUCUAAUAAAGCAUAUAGCAAUGUUUCAAGUAUUUUCUUUCCGACUCAAAAAAUUGUUGGAUCUGUAAAAGAAAUUAUAAUGCAAUUGAUUUUUAAGAUGUUUUGUUAUAUAAAUUUUAAAUAGUUUGUAAUGUAAUUUAAAAUUAAGAUAUAUAAUGCAUAUUAGCCUAUAUAAAUUUUUUUAUGCUAGUAUGACCAAGAGAAUAAGAUAUUAUAUAUGCCUUCAUUAAAAAAAAAUCCAACUGAAAUAUCAUUGGAUUCCAAAUGUAAUAUUCAUCGAUAACAUCUAAAUCUCAAAGAUUAGUCUAAAUAUGGUAUAAAAAAAAUUAAAUUACACUAGUAAAUAUCCUAACUUAUUAUUGUGAACUUUGUUAAUAGUUAUGAAAUCUAAAUAUAACUCUGGAAUUGAUAUAACUAAGUUUUGUUGAUUUAAAUGUUUAUUCUAUUAUCAAAUUCUAAACUCUUUACAUGCUUUAACAUGUUUAUAUGAGAAAAAUUAAAGUAUAGAGAAUAGUUCAACCAUAUAAUAUAAUUAGUAAUAGUAACAUGGCAUUAAACCUAUUUUUACUUGAAUUAAAAUACUUAUUUUUUUUAUCGUGGUAUAAACAUUAUUACCUUAAUUUAGAAUUUUGUGAUAUGUUGUAUCAUAUAAUCUCUAUUUAAAAUUACUUGCAAUUGUUUAUUUUGUAAAUGUUGGUGAUCAAUGAUAGCAUACAUAUACAUGAUUACCUUAGCAAGUUUGUUAAGGUGAUCAAAUUUAUUGAAAAUCAAUCUCUGAUAGCCAUUAAUUGAAUAGUUAAAUUGUUAAAUACUUUAACUGAUAGGUUGAAAGAUUUACAACUACAAAAUUAUAUUUUAUUAAAUUUAUGAGAGUUCUUAAAUUAAAAAUAUAUUACUUUAUAGUGUUUGUUAAUUUAUUUUGAGAAGAUGAGAAACUAAUACUUAAAGACUAGGUUAAAAUGUACAAAAAAUAUUAGUUAUGAUUUUAAUUUACAUAUUCUAUAAUAAUCUAUAUGUCCAAUCAGACGAUCAUAAAAAAAAUAUUAAUCUCAUGAUUACAUGGUACUAAAUAUUAUCUAACCAAUUGAAAAUUAAGUUAAUUUUAUUUAAAAAUCUAAAUGGCAUAUUAGACUAUAGUUAUUACUAUCUAUAAGUUCAAUUUUUUAUAAUCUAUCAUAAAGUUUUAAAUGCAUGAGCACCAAUUGAUUAUAGUAGUUCAAAAUGAGAAACAUAUGAAGAAAAAAAACGAUAAUAGAAUAUAGUAUGAACAUAGAAAUAAUAAUAAAAAAAGUUUAUCCAUUCUUUAUGACCAUAUGAAUCAUGUGAAGAAAAAAAAUGAUAUAAAUACAAUUUUUUAUAUUUUAUAUGAGAUAUAUUAUCAUAUCUUUUGUAUGAAAUAAUACCUUAAAAAUGUUUUGCAUUUUUAUACUUAAUAAAUAUGAUUAUGCAAAUAAACUAAUCCUAUGUUUGGUUAGGAUGAUAAAAGGGUGGAAGGAUGGGGUUGGAAGGUUGGAUAGACCCCAUUCACCAGUUGGUUCAAAAAAUCUUAAGAAAAAAGAUUAAAAAAAAGGAUUAUCCAUCCAUAGUCUGCCAAUUUGCAUUCUUCCAAAUUGAAAUAAUGCAAGGAAGAAUGGGUAGAGCAUGUGAGGGAUAAAUUUCUAAUAUUGACAAAAUUAUUCUUUAUUAAUUUUGUAACAAAACCCUAACACCUCUUCAUCUUUUUCAUCAAAGUAUAGUUUAGUAAAAAUGUUAUAUAAAUAUCAUCUAUUCUUUAUUCCAUUUAUUCUAUACCAAAAUAGAGGAGAGACUCAUUGCUAUCCAUUCUUUUAUGUUUUACCAAACACAUGGAGGAAUGGAUGGAAGAUCUAUCUUUCCUCUUUCUCAUCCAUCAUUCCUCUUCUAUCUAUUCUUCCUCCAAUCCAUCAUUUAUGCCAAGCAGAGGAUAAGAGUUAGCUAUAUACUAAAUAGUAAAUAUUGAUAAAUAAUUAAAUAUAAUUAAAAAAUGGGCAAUCAAAAUUAAAAGUCCACACCAGGUGAUCAUAAUACACACUAAUAAAAAUACAUAGAGGUCUGCCACAUGCUUGAUAGUCCCCGAACUAUACUUUGAUUCCAAAAAAAUGAAUAAAUUAAUUAUAUGUUGAAAAACAUGUCAAAGCAUGCAAAUUGAAAAUUUAUAUAGAUAUGAUAUAAUAUUUUAAAAUAUUAUCUACAUGAUAUUUCAUUGGACAUUUUGCUUGGAUCUAGCAAAACAUCAUGUUGUAUUAUUAAAAUCAUUUAUAUCAUAUAUUAAUUUAAUGCAUAAGUUACAAAACCUCUAGACAUAUUAUUUUUAAAGCAAGUUUUAAUUGCAUAAAUUAAGAUAAUAUUGCAGCACUGCGAUUUGGAUGAGUGAUCAUUGAUUUUUUAAAUAAUAAAAUACCUUAUAAAAGAUUUAAAACUCAGGCUCUCUUUUUUCUUAAUCACCUAGUGCAUAGAUAUGUAUAUCAAUGUUUUUGUAUAUGUGGGAUCACCUUAAUAGAGUCUAGGUUAAAAAACAAAAAAAAGAUUCCAUCUAGGUGAUGAAUUUAUUGAAGAGGAUAUGCUGAUAAUAUUUUUAAAAAAAUAUUAUAAUUAUAAAUUAUGUAAAGAUAUUUUGAUGCAAAAAUCUUCCCAAAAAAAUUUAUUAAAAUUGCUAUAUAGUGAAUAAUAAACUCUUCAAGUAGUAUUUUACCAUAGGAUAAUUUUGAUUCUGUGGUAAUGGCUAUAUUUAAUUUAGGGUUAGAAUUUGGAUAGUAAGGAAGAAAAAUAGGUUCUAAGAGUUAUCAUUAGCUUUGUGAAGGUAGCGGUCGAUAUGAUAAUAAGAACAGGAGAUUAUGGAGGUAACACAAAUAUAAAAGGAGAUAAAAAUCAAUAGAAAUAGACCUCUUUGGAUCAUAUUAUAUAUUAAAUCAUAUAUGACUAUGGAAGAAGCCUUUGUUUUAACAUUUUGUCAAUAGCCCCAAUUCUAAAGCCUGAACGUUUGUAAUGUUCAUUAUUUUCUUUAAGUUCAGUUUUUAUUUGGGAUCAGAAAUAUGAUUAAACUAGUCAAAAACAACUAACCUGGCCAAUUUUCCAGAAAAAUUAAUGAAUUGGGUUUUGAUGGAAGUAUCAAAAAUAGUUAUUAAAAUAUGGUUUCGAAUAGUUAAACUUCAAUUUAGAGAAAUAAACUCUCAACCACUAUAUAAUUUAUUUCAUGAGCUUGCUAACAAGUUUUAUUAUACUUGUUCUAUCUCAUUAAAGCUAUUUUAAAUAGGUCUCCAUAAUCAAUUAUUUCCAUAACAAUAAUAACCAAUUCUUUUUUCUUUGUUAGGGAAUAAAAAUAUAUUUAUACUCAUUUAAUUUUGAAUAUUUUCAAACUUUUCUAUUCUAACUAUGAAAAGUAUAACUAAAUUUAAUAUAUAUUCCUUUUGUAAUAUAUUUUUUUAAAUAAAUAUCAAGCGGUUAAUGGCUAUUUUUUAUUUAUGGUGUAACUAAAUAGUAGAGUAGAAUGUUGACUUAUGUGUCUGUAGUGUAGUUUUUAAUUAAAAAAUCAUCAAUUAGUGUAUAUAUUUAAUUUUUAUUAAUUGUAAUUAUAUAAUUUUUAUUUUUAAUAUAUCAUCUAUUUAAAUUUGAUUGGACUAAUUGAUUCGGUAGUUGGAUCAGUGAUCCGGAACCCAAACUCUUAGCCGGUCAAUUUUGAUAUAGGUUUAAGAUCCAAAAAUUUAUCAAAUGUGAUGGUCAAAGUUUAAUGAAGUCCAUUUCAAAUAUAUGACAUUUCAAAAGUAUAAUUUUUCUCACAUAUAUCAGAUUUCAGUUUUCCAACACUUGUUAGAUAAGUAUUCUAAGAUCUAAAAAUAUUUUAUGUCUUGAGUCAAAAAAAGGGUUAAAAACUUCAGUUACAACAUAAUAAUGAAUUUAUUCUAAAAUUUAAAAUUUUAGUCAAAUUAGGUGUCCUUUGGUUAAAAUAGGAAUAACUAUUCUAAAUUAAAUCUAAUUAUAUCAUUUUUAACACCGAUAACGUUGAAAUUAUUAGUAAAUGUUAUUAAGAUAAUUUAAUUUUAUUAACAAUAAUAUUAUCAUCUUAAUGUUUAGCAAAACUAACAUAAUAUUGUUAUUAAUAAUUUAAUAUUAAUAUUAAUAUCAAUAUUAUUAUAAUCAAAUAAUCUCAUUAUAUUAAUACCAGAAUUAAUGAUAUUAUUAUUAACAUUCUUAUAUGAUGCAUAUUUUGUUACAUUCUAUAAUAUUUUGUUAUUAUUAGAACAAAACUGGGUGAUUUAUGGUGAAUAACUUGGUUUUUUGUCAUGGCAAUCUGGCCACUCCUAGCAACCUUUUUAUUUUAAUCUUCAAGGGUUUUGAAUUCUUUGUACUCAUACCAUCAUCCUGUCCCUCGAGUUACAUACGCACCAAAAUCCACCUCAAUACCCAUCGCUAGCCGCUAUAGUCGGAGGUUCGAGAACACGGUACGCCUUCCAAGCAGUUGGAUGUAAAUUUAACGGUCAGGAUCACAUCAAUCAACAAACAAAAGCCGUUCAAUUAAAAGCGGGCGACCGUAAUAACAAGCCCCCGGAGUCCGGACCCCCAUCCUACCCAUAUCGGCGGUCUCCAAACACGCGGAUCUGCGUUCCCAGCCUCGCGAUCUCCAAUCAACGGCUCUGAUUUCUUCCUUUCCUUGCUCUCAACCGAUGCACGCGUUUCCUUCUUUAAUAGAUAAAAUGUUUGUUUUUAUUACGACAUGCCACUCUCCUCGCGGAGUCCCUCACCUCUCUGCUCUCAGAUCUCUCUCUCCCUCUGCCUCCCCCUUCCUUCUCGAAGCCAUACAAAUCUCCGAUCCCUUUUCGAUUCUCUCAGCGCCAAGAUCCGGUUAUUCUUCUCGAGAUUUGUGGUAGAAGCGAUGGUUGUUUGCAAAUGUCGCAAGGUAUUCGGGAUUCAAUUCCUUAAGCUCUCUUCUUCCCCUAAGUCUAAUAUUAAAUUCGAUUUUAAUUGAUUUUGUUCUCAUUUUCCCUCAAUUUUUUAAUGGGUUGCGGAGAAUUGGGAAGAGAGAUUUCUUUCAUUCGUAGAAACCGUUAACUGUGCGGGUGUGUUGAGAUCGAUGGCUUUGUUUUGUUGCCUAUUGUUGUGAAUGUGCUCGAUCGGUUAUUCGUUUGGUUGGUAUCUGUUUGAGUGGUUUGCUUCGAAUUGGGUUUGCCAGCGGUUGAGAUCAGCCACUUUUACAAGAAUUGAUGCAAUUAGGGUACAAAUUCAGCUGAUUUACAAUGCGCUAAUCGUGUUUCAGAAUGGAGCGGGUGAAAAAGUCUCUUUUUACGGUUUUGGAUUGAUUGGAUGUUGAGGUUUUCUUCGUGAUAGAGAAACUAUGGAUCUAUGAAGUAAAAUCUGGUGCUUGCUUUUUUCCGUAGAUUUUGGCGUUGCAUAGGAUGAUUAGUUGUACUCAACGAUUUUCAUAGUUUCAUUUGAUAUCUGAUCUUUGGGUUUUCUGAUUUUUAAUUGUUCUUUGGAUAACUAGUAAUGGAGCAUUUUGGUUUCAGGCGACUAGGCUUUAUUGCUUUGUUCACAAGGUACCUGUCUGCGGGGAAUGCAUCUGUUUUACAGAACACCAAAUCUGCGUGGUAACCAUCUGGACUUUUGUCAUACCAAUGCAGAUACAAUUUUUUGCUGGUAUAUUAUGAUUGCAAGGAAAAAUGUUCCAUCUGAACUCAUGAUUCAUGCACAAAAUCAUCACAUCCAGAAUAAUGUUUAGUAUGAACAAAAUCUGCCAUUCCAUAGAUGAUAAUUAUAUUCAUGAAGGUAUCAAGUUUGCAGCUUGGCGAGUUUACGCAAUUCACUUGAUUUAUAAGGAUUUUAUGGAGGCAACAUCAUGAACAUGAUUUAACUUCUGAAAUGUUGCAGCAUGCAAGUUGUUUUGCAUGUCCCCUUUCUUAUGUAUAUUGGUUCCUACAAACUUUUCACAGCCUCCAUAUCAUAUGCUUUCUUGUUGUCAAUUACAGCUGAUGUCAUUUAUUUUAUUUGAAAUAAGAAUCAGACUAGUGCAAUUUGAUGCUUGUUUCUUCUCUCCUAAUAGUGUCAUGUGAAUACCUCAAUAAUGGCUUCAAGAAUUUUAGAGAAGAAGAAGCAAAGUACAAAAUACAAAAAAAAUAAAAAAUAAAAUGACGAUAAUAUAGCAAAUAUAACAAGAGAUAACUAUCCAUUGUAGCUUCUAAUUUCUAAACACCACCACUCCAAGGUAAAGUUCUUAUCCAUAUUCCUUUCUUGCAGUUUUAUCCAUUCUAUUCUAUGACUGAAACUUUGGAGGAAAGUGCAUUUGUGAUGCUUUAUGCCUUUGUCUUUCCACGGUUCCGUGGCAACAUGCAUUGCAUGUGCCAUACUCUAGUCUGCACUAUAUAAACAUUCUAGAUUGUUGCCUCAAUUUCAGAGUAAGAUAAAGUCGCCAGAGUUCACCUCUGUGAAGCAUCAUGGUGACAUUUUGAAGUUUACAUUUAGUCAUGGUCACCUCCCACAAUUGCCUCUCAUGAUUGUUGAGAUCACUCUCUUUAUGCUUAAUUAAUAGAUACCUGAAGCAGAGACUUUAUGGCCUUAUUCGAAUAUUUAAAUCAUAGCCAGUGCUGCAGCAAGGAUUUCUUUUUUUCUUUUCUUUUCUUUUGGUGGUGGUUUUGGAGAUGGGGACUAAUAAUCUAGAAACAAAGUUUCUAUUUGAAUAUCAGAGACAUAAAUAUAAUUUUAGUUAUCUCAAUCAACUAGAGAAAGUUACUAGAAAGAGAGUCCAUACAGUACGGCAUGGAAUUGAUUGACAUAAUGCAUGCUUUUUAUGAUUACAUUUACAAAGAAUAUGUACAAAAUGCACAUUCCACAGAUAUUAUUCAUAUGUAUUGAAACACCUCCUCUUAAAAAUUCAUAAUUAUGGUCUUUAAACAGCUUUGGAGAUAUGUAUGUGGCAAACCAUCUAGGUGUUAUAAGUACUAGCUAGAAAGAAAAAAGUUUUCAGGUUUUUGGAUGAAAAGAAGGCAUCUUAGAAGCCCGAAAAACACAAAAGUUUUAAGGAGCACUUUUUAACUCAUUAUGUGGUUUGAUGGUGGGCAUAGAAGUAGUUCAAAGCUUUUCAAAAUCAUUGAGUUUUGCACAGCACAGAACGCACCUAGACAGCUACCCAACUGCCCACAACCUUGUCAAGUUUGAAACUGCCCUCCUCUAGCAAUCAAAUAAGCCAUCUCUUGACCCAUGUUUUCUGCUCUCUCUUUGAUAUAUUUGUCUUAGUUAUGGAAUCAGUUAAUCAUAAAUGGAAUCAUUUUCUCAUAAACAAUCCUACAUAUGUUCUACUGGAGGCUUCCCAGGAAAAAAGGCAUAGAGGCAAAAGGAAAUUUGCGUUGUGAUCCAACAGUUUGCUGCAUGAAUAGUGAACAGAAUACUCAUUAAAUCAUUAUAACGACCCAGUUUCAUAUCCCUUAUGUUUCUUCACUGUCUUCUGAUUGAUGGCAUAGUCUUUUUGAAAUUGUGAUUGGAAAAAACUUAUGUUCAUGUUUUUGCAACAUGGCAAAAAGAUAGAUGAUAAAGAAAAUGAACGAAAAAGGAAAAAAGAACUUAUCCUGUUAUCCAGGUUAUUAGAGACUUCGUACGAUUAUUUGUCAUCCUCGUCUUCUUCCUUAAUCUCUUCUGCCUCCUUUGCUUCUCUUCCACCUGUAUUUUCCUAUUCUGAACAAAGAUUGGCAACAAAAACCUGCUUUAGAAUAGAGUUGGGUACUCAAGGACUUUGGAUUCAUCGAGAAAUUAGAUAAAUAAGGGCACAAUACCUUGUAUCUCACUGAACAUCAAGAAAAGUGUUCAAUUGAUCAUAAGUUCAUAACCAUGCAUCUGGGUAUGGAUGGUGAUUCUCUCUCUCUCUCUCUCUCUCUCUCGUAAAAAAGCAGCUAACCUACCAAUGAUUAAUCCCAAUUACAGGGAGCAAUUUUAUCACCUAGCCUCAUGAAUGGAGGAAAUGAAGAACUGGGAGAGGGCAAAAGGAUUUGUUGAACGAUGGUUAUAUAUGUUGAAGCAUUUUGGGCUUGGGGGUAAUCUAGAAAGAGCUUGUGAAUAUAAGUUAUUUGACCCACCGGCACAGUCCAUUCCAAUUUUUUUUAUAACUCAGCAUUUUAUACUGGUCCAUAUUCGAGUGGCAAGAUUAGUUGUGCGGCAAAAAUCUUGAUCCUUUUCUUAACUACCAUUGUCAAUGAAAGUUAUUUCUUACUCGAACUUGCAAGUGCCUAAAACUCACCAGUUAGGUUCAUCCUUUGAAGAUAAACCAUCUCUUAAGCAUCUUUUGUUGAUUAUCAUAAUUAUGUAAUUAUCUUUAUAGCAGCGUCCAAGCAUGUCAGCUUUAUAUUCCCUUUCCCUUUCUUUUGUAACUUUAACUUUUUGUUUGUAUCUUUUCAUAGGAUAUUGUGCAUUCUUUUUAUAAUUUGCACUGAAACAUGUUUGUGCACAUAUAACAUGUAUUGGUAGACAGAUAAGUGUGUAAACAGAUCUGCAUUUACAUAUACAUGAAACAACCAAUAUUAUAGCUUUAUUGCAGUGCACCAGCAUAAAUAUAUUCCUAUUUAGUGGUCUAUCACACUUAUUUUUAUCGAUCUUUUAGGUCAAACAAUACUCUGAUUGGGUAGUUGAUGGAGAGUAUGAUUGGCCUCCUACAUGCUCCUCCUGUAAUGCUGCGCUCGAAGCUGGAAAUGAUCAGACUACUCGACUGGGUUGCUUGCGUAUGUGAUUCUUCACCUAUACAUUUAUAAUUUAGCUUUCAAGAAAGCAUGCUCCACAAAAUGUAGUAAACCUAAGAUGCUUCUCUUUUGCUUGUCUCAGAUCUUGUGCACACAAAUUGUUUGGUGUCGCAUAUUCAAAGCUAUCCACCACAAACUGCUCCAGCAGGAUAUAUUUGUCCUGCAUGUUCUUCACCUGUAAGAUGCAUGGGAGGAUCUUUGCAUAAUUUUGUUGUGUUUAUUAAAUUACAAAUUUCUUCUGUCUAGCAAGUAGUAGUUCAAUAGUAUUUUCUUGUUUCUUGAAUGGCCAAAGCAAAAGGAAAGAAAAUGGAUUUUGUCUAAUGGCAUCCGCAAUCUACACAACUUGAGGGGGGUGGGGACAGUUAACAAGUUUACUUCUGUAGAAAAUUCAAGUCUAUCAUGCUUUAUCAUUUGGGUAUAUAUGCUCUGAAUUGUUAUCCAAAUGCCUGACAACCUUAACCCAAAGUUGAGAUGCUUAUAUUUGAGGUCAGCUUUGUCUUACCUAUACAGAUAAAAACCUAAGAAAAUAUAGUAGGUAAAAGAUAAGAAAAGGAGAUAAAAUGCUUUACCACAAAAUAUAAAAAUCGAGAUAAAGAUAUAAAAAAAACUUCAUAUUUUCACGAACAUUGUAUCAUAAUGUUCAAUUUACUACUAAGAUUAUUAUUUGUAUUAGUUGAUUCAUAAAGUUAUGAAGAAAGAUAAUUUUUUAAUUCAAAGUAAAUUGUGGUAGAAACUUCUUUUUUUUAAAUAAAAGAGGGCUAUAACAGCGACCAUUACAUUCUUACGGCGUCUUCCAAAAACAUCAAAUAUGCUCUCCAUGGUUCAUAUAAUUCCCAAUGUUCUAGAGUGAUUUUCAACCCAAUUGGCUGCAUGGUUGGCAUCUGGUAUAUGUGCCGAAGUUGAAGAUCCACGAAAUCCCUCAUAAGGCUGUGGCAAUCAGCGAUGAUAGUGGAAGGGAUGGGCUCACCCCAUCUCAUAAAAUCCUACAUGUCAAGACGAUCACUCUCAAUGAUGACCUGUUGAAGCUGGUGGUGUCAUGCCAAGGACAUGGCCUUAUGAAGGACAAGGCCUCAUGAAGAUCCAAGCCUUAGCUAGGAGAGAGGAAUCUGAGUUGAGAAUCAUACAUUGGGCCAUGAUGGGCCGCCCAACAUGAACAUGGAUGAGAACUACUGCUCUUGCAACUCUGCUAUCUGAAAUUACAGAAGAUCCAUGUAACAACCCAGGAUCUCACCCAAAAUGGUUAGCCAGAAGGUAUUAUUUAGAUUUUUUGAUCCUGUAUAAGUACCCAAGAUCUACCCAGCAAACAAACCAAUGUGAGACCGUCCGUACGGAUUCUCACAUACUCCCUCCGUUCAAGCCGUGACGUCCUUGUCAGGCUAAAGGUUUAAAUCAAUUCAAAUCUAAUCAUAAACAUAACAAUUGGUUCGUGGUCAGCCCCAAUGGAUCCGUGCUGCAGUGUCUCCUAGUCCAUAUAGGUCAUAGGCCGGGUCCNNNNNNNNNNNNNNNNNNNNNNNNNNNNNNNNNNNNNNNNNNNNNNNNNNNNNNNNNNNNNNNNNNNNNNNNNNNNNNNNNNNNNNNNNNNNNNNNNNNNNNNNNNNNNNNNNNNNNNNNNNNNNNNNNNNNNNNNNNNUCAGUGUUAUUUUUGUACUAUGCUAUGGUGGAAGCUCCCAUUGGACCCAUUCAAGCUCCUCUUGAGCAAUAGAAGCCUUUCAAAGAUUGCCAAAUGAACCAGCAAGUGGUAGCAAAGAAACUCAUAGCCCAGAUUGGGAUUGAUACACCAACACAGUUUUAGGACCGAGCCAUCCCCAUCCCCAUCCCCAUCCCCAUCCCUGGCCUGAGUCCAAUCCAUAGGUUGCCAUCCUCGUUGCAUCCUAAGAGCAUUCAGAUUUCUUGCGAGUAUCUACACUCAAAAAGGAAUUGUCAGAUGUCCUCUGACCGACAAGAUUAAACUUACAACAUAUGUCAACAAAGUAAGAAAAGAUCAAUCUGUACCACACAUUUGUUGGUAAUCUUCAAGAAAUAAGCCGCCAACAAAAAAAUUAACUUUUAGAGCAGCAGGUAGUUUCCAUAAGAAAUUUGAAAUUGUACCAUUGCCCCCUACAAAUAUAGUGUUCCUGUUGAGCCACAAAAUUGUAGAUGGAUCUGGAAAGCCUUUUACCAUGUAUGGUAGUAGCCUGUCGCCAACCAUCCAUAACAUAUAUAUAGGAGUUUUGUAUGCUAAUGUUUUUCUCAACUGUCUGGGCAUCCCAUAGCCUUUGUACAUUCCAGCUAUUAUGUGCAAUUAGCUCACCUGCAUAAACCUCAGUUAAUAAUGUAAAUAGGCUUAUACCUAAUUUGUAUAUCAAAAAGCCAUGAGUGGUCUAGUAUCCUAUAUGCCAGGCCAUUUCUAAUAUUGUAUGCCAAGCCCAGUGAAUCCUUUGAGUGCACUUAGUGACAGCCUUACAGCACCAAGAAGAAUGCUUGAUUUACUUUCUUUUAUUCUGUACCUUAGUGAGAAUGUUUAUAAUUUGAUGCCACACCUGUACCAUCCUCAUACCUCUACUCUUCAACCUCAAUUAGUGUCCACUAAGUUUUCUAUCUCUUGUACUGUUGAACCCUUCUAGUUCUUCCUAAUCUGCUCUCUACUUAAAAUUGCUGUGCUUAAAGCAAACAUCAGAAAAUUACGUUUUAGAAUUUAGAAUUAUCAUCAUAUCACUGGCAAACCACACACUCAAAAGCACUAGGUGUCAUAUGAUGGUUUUUCCUUAGUUUAUACAUCUUGAAGUGAGGGUGGAAGGCUGGAAGACUUUGCCAACCCUUUGAACUUUGGAGGGAAGAAUGCUUUUUGCUGCAGAUUAUGAUAUUGAUCCCUUUCAACUUUAAAUCAACUGCUAUGAAAUUAUUCUACUUUUAUAUUUAUCUGCCUUGAAAAUCAGUCAAUGAAUUUGUUUAAUAUCAAGAAAAGCACUUUUUUUUUUGCAGAUAUGGCCUCCUAUAAGCAUUAAAGAUACAGGAUCUCACCUCCAUUCAAAACUCAAGGAAGCAAUAGUCCAGGUAAGACCAUCAUAAAUUUUAUUUCUAGAGUUAUCAGCAUGCUAUUGUUUUCUUUUCCUACCAUAAGCCUUUUCUCAUAUAUAUGGGUUGGUUUCACGAUAUGUUUAUUCCAUGUAAGUGCUAAAUCGUUGAUCAAAUAGGCAACAAUAUGUUAAAAUAAUUUCUGCUGCUUGACAUCAGUAAAUAAGUAUACACUUUAAUGACAUGAUACAUUCUGAAUAUUUCUGAUUAUUGUGACUAUCUAUGCAUAAUUGCAUAUAGGUGUCCUAGUUUUUCUUUUCUUUUCUUUUCUUUUUUAAUAAUCCUCACCAAUUUAGGGCUGGAUGGUAGUUGCAAUGAAAUUAUAUUGUUUAUUUCCAGACAUGCUUAACCUAAGGUUUCCAUCUUGGCUGAUAUUGCGGCGAGAUAUCAGUUAUAUGGGUCUCGGGCAUCUAACGAUACAAUAUGUUCUAAAUAUCAGCUUAUGUUGGCUGCUAUAAACUGUUAUAUCCCAAUUUCUCGGCUGAUACAAUAUCAAGAUACUGGCUGAGAUUACUAGUUUUAUUAUCAUUUGUCUUAGGAUUUUCUUAAGCCAUAUUAAGGGGUGACCUAUCUUUUUUGGAGACUGUAAUUAGGAAACAAUUGUGGUAGAGGUUAUCUGCCAAGAUUUGUAGAUCUUGCAGGUUCAAAAAAACCUGGCAUCAGAAUAGGGACUUUGUGGAGGAAGGUGAGCAGUGGAGGGUGUGAUGGAGGUGUUGCCGCGCUGGUGUCUGGAGAGUCGCUAUGGCUGGGCAGUAAAGGCCACUUGUUGAGGCGAAUGAUUCAUCUCGUAGUUAGCUUUGGCAACAAUGAUGAACGAAGAUUUUUUUUUUUUUUUGCCAUUGUUGAGAUGAAAGGGGGUCCUAAAAGAAUAGAAGGGAAGAGGUUACAUGGAUGUGGAAAAUAUUCUUUUCUCUCUGUUUGUUUGUUUUUUUUUAAGUUUUGAGGAGAAUGACUCUGCAAAUAGUUAAGGCUAUUAUAUGCCACAGUCCAUGUAUAAAAGGGAACAAAUGAUGUAUUUGUGAUGUCAGCUAAGUUUCCAGUAUAUUAUAUUAGUUCUUAUGUCUCGGCCUGCAUAUCCAGAAAUCAUGGAAAUUAUGUUCUUUUUAAAAAAAUUUCCUUUUCAAUCUUGGCCGAGAUAAACUGGUAUCUUUGUUUAUCUCGGUUUCAGUGGCCUACUGAUAUUUCUGAGAUAUCACGUAUUAAAAACUUUGGCCUGACCACAUAGAUUUGUGUGAACUUUCUCUUUUAUAAAGAUUAACUUGUGGGAUCAUGCUGAAUGUUUGAUUCGUUGCAUAAAGUUCAAUCCUGGAAGUAAGUUUUGGAUCUCAUAUUCAAGAAUUCUAGAUUCGAGGUUUCUAUAUCCUGUGUCCUACAUAGACUUUUUGGUGCAUUAAUUCUCCUUGUGAGUUUAAUCUUAUUCCAGGCCUUCCAGAUAUCUAGCCUUUUGGGUAUCAUAUCAAUCUUUCAGAAGCUAGAUCUAUCGUAUAUCUGGCUAUUCGAGUCCAUGUACUACAACUUGCCCUUCUUAGAUUUAAAUUUAUGCUUCAAGACAUCAGAUCCUGUUCCCUAUGUUAUCUAGCUUCUUUUGGGUGUUCGUUUUAGCACCCAGAGUUCUUAAGAAGAUGAGAUAUGUUUCCUGUUCUUUCGUUCAGAAGCUGUUCUACUUCAUGAUCGUUCGACUCUCUCACACUCUCUCUCAAUUUUCUAGAGUUUGAUGUCAAGCAGUAAUUCACAAGCUUACUCACACAUGAAAGGUUGUUUUUUUGUUAUGGAUUAAAAUAAUGGAAUUAUUAAUCAGCUUACUGAACUAAAUAAAAAUUUAUCAGGACUGCACCACUUUAUCUCAUGAAUGGUGCAUGAGAUUCUACACAAACUGAAUAUCAACCUAGUGUUUUUGAUUUUUAUGCAAUGGGCAUUGAGGUUCAACAUUCUGUUAAAGAAAAUGAAGCUUGUCAAAACUUUAAUAUGAUCAUAUAUCAUAAAUUAUUCUGCUUCCUUUCUUAAAUGUUUAUAUUAGAAAGUGAUCUAAGCAGUUCCUAAGCUACAUUUUUUUUGAAAAUCCAUUUAUUCAAAUGUCCUUCAUUUUGAAUAUUUGAUUUUGUGUUUGUUUCCUUAUUGAGUUUUAGUUAUGUUAAUCAUCUUGCAUUUUCAGCCAUUGCUUAGCGUAUUUUAGUUGCCUUGUCAAGACAUCAACUCAGUAACAGUUGUUAAGACUCUUCAAACUUAUUCCACAUGGUUUCUGACAUUUGCAGAGUGGCUUGGAGAAAAAUGUAUUUGGAAAUCACCUUGUUUCAUUGCCUGCAGUGGAGAGCCGUGUUCCUCCUCCUGCUUUUGCUUCGGAUCCACUUAUGCAUGUAUCUGGUGUUGAAGAUAGCGAUAAAAGUCGUGCAGAUUCAUUUACCAAAGAAGCAAAAUACUCAGAUGAAGUAUACUCCGCUGCUGGAACAGGUUCUACUAAACUUUCAGAACCGGAGAUUGUUGAAAUAGAUGGUCCUAGUUCGUUAGGAAACCAAUUUAAGCCAGACCAAGAGCCCAACUUCAUCAAAAGUGUGAGCCCCAAGGGUGUAAGUGAUAUCUGAGCCAAUGAUCAACCAUCUUUUAGUACUUUUUGUGUAAAUUUAAGUUCAUAAAUGGUGCAUUCAUACAAAUGUAAAUGGUGCCUGGCACUAUGAUCUUGUGUUUUAACGUCAUGCAGCCCGGUGCUACCACAAGGAAGGGCACUUACCAUGUUGACAGACAAAAUUCAGAAAUAUCAUAUUAUGCUGAUGAUGAAGAUGGAACACAUAAAAAGUACACGAAAAGAGGUAAGUUAUAUGGAAAAAAGCUAAAUAUUUCCCUAAACAUAAUUUCUCUCUGCUACGUGAUUGGCAUGCUCUUGACUCAAUAAGGAUUGUCUAGCUUGAGAUUAUUAACAUGGACACUAAGCCUUUUUGUUUCCUGAUAAACGACACUAAGCCUUAUUUCAUCUGUGUGAGAUUGAUGCGAUUAAUCUUAUUUCCUGAUUGGUUCCUAUAAUAACUAAACAGUUAGAAGUGCAAUUUGUAUGGUACCUUCAGAUCCCUCAUUUCUACAAGGCUAGUGUGGUUGCCCAUCUUUGAUCAUUAUGGACGUUGCAAAACCAUGACUGAUACAUGUUCUGUUAGCAUGUUUCAUUGCUCAUGGCAGUUUGUGUUUUUGUUCAAUUUUGUUGACGUAAAAUGUUAAGUUCUCUUAAUGCAGUGUUUGUUAAACAUGUAGCUAUCAAAAGAUUUUUUUUUUUUUGUUGCUGUCAUCUGAUGGUAUCCUUUUUCCUUGAAUUUGAUUGACUUCUAGAAAUUCCUGCUCUGUUUGAUUCUUUUACUCUUUCAGUACCUUCACAGUUUUGCACCUUGUCUUCAUGUUUAUGCCUUUCUUUAAAUCCUACAAAGGCAUGCUGUGCUCGAGCAGUUGCCCAUAUAUGUGGCUGAAACAGGUUCAAGUUGUAGACCAAGGCUGUAUUUUUGCAGUCGAUAUUGCAGUCACUUGUCAUGUCCAUUGCAGAAACUGGAUAUUAUGAUUCUCUGCAUAUAGGAUUUGUUCCAUUCUUAUCCAGCUAAUUCUCAAGUAUAAUUGUUUUUGGACCUUUUUUAUGGCAUAUGCUAUAGCCUUGAAUUUGAGGUCUUUCCUGGCCCAGGCAUGACCUGAGUUUGUCUACGUGUGGACCCAUGUCUGGUGCAGUCUGGACUUGAGUCCCGCCUGUGCCAGAUCUAUAUGCUCCUACACCACCUCCUGUGCGGCCAAGGGCUGGAUGCUCUGCUUGGGGUCAUAAGGGGCUGCCAAGGAGGUCCUGGCAGGACAAGAAGUCCGGUCUUUGUGGACUUCUGUCUGGCACAGGCUGGACUAAGGUCCUGCCCUUGUCAGGUCCGGUAGAUUCCAUGGUGUCUUUGAACCCUCGAGGUGGCUGAGGUCUGAAUCUCUUACUGGGUUGGUAGGGGCUGCCAGGUUGGUCUUCAUCCAUUAAUAAUUUUUAGCUAAUGUGAAUUCCUUAUGCAUAUGCUAUAACAAGAUCUAAGUUGUUCAAGAUGGGAUCCAUUUAUAUGUACUAAAUCUUGGUAUGCUCAAAUGAAGAAAACGAUUUUUGAGUGUUCUUUUUAUACUUCACAUUAAUUUAGAGACUAUAUUACUUAUAUCACUUGUUUGUGUGUGUGUAUAUAUAUUUGUGAUUUUAUAUGUAUGAUCAUUUUUAGGACCCUGAUGAUGUUUGCGCAUACUAGCUAUGGCUUAAGAAAUAUACAACCUUUUUCCCUAGAGCCUUGUUGGAUGCAGGGAGAGGGAGGGCCUUGGUGUAACGAUAACGUUGCUCCAUUGUGACCUGGUUGUCACCAGUUUGAAGCAUGGUCAACCUCUCCUCACUUGGGGGUAAGGCUGCCUCAAUCUGACACCCUCCCCGGACCCUGCAGCGAUGGGAGCCCCUGCAGUGAUGGGAGCCUCAUGCACAAGAACACUCUUGUUUUAAGCCUUGUUGGAUGCAGGCAGAGUAUGAGAGGUGGUUUCCUCCCUGCUACCACUGCGCACUGCCAAUUGCUUGCCUUAGCUAUUGGUGAAAAUUCUAGCAAGACUUGCAGGUCGUUGGAGCAAUCCUGUUAGAGGUUGAGAGCUAUUCGAGCCCUAAAAGAAGCUGUUUGUGUAUUAGGCCCAACACAAUGAUAAAUUUCCAAUAAAUAUGCAGUUGUAUGAUUUCAUGGUCCUGUGUGGAAUCUUAUUGUUGUUCUGCAUUGAUUAAAUCCACUGCAUAUUCUGCUUUCAUCUUCAGUUUAUGCACUUACUAGUUAUCAACAUAUAUCUAGCAAUUAAUCAUAGAUAUUGGAAACUGUACAUCCACCCAGUAUAAAACUUAAAUGUGGUCCAAGUAUUUUUGAUUGUCUGAUAAUAUGUCAAAAACACUUGUAUUUUGGAAGUUGUACCUGCCUUUUCGUCCAUCACAGAGAGAGAGAGAGAGAGGGGGGGGGGGGAGAGAAGAGUGGAUUUAUUAACUAUAUUACCUAUUAUCAAAAAGAAAAGUGUCACAUAUUUUUAUAUAAAUAUUAACUGUAACAUAAACAAGGUCGACAUGCAACAGUAUGUGGCCAAUGUUGUGACAGUGAAUUCUAUACAAGCCCCUUUUCCUUUUUCUUUUUUUUAAGUUUUUUAUGAUAUAGUUGUUGCACCUGGACACUUGAGGUCUAUGCAAAGCAUGCCGAUGAGAUCUAGUUAGAUGUCUAAGGACAUGAAGCAGCUUGUGUUUUAUUUAAUUUAGUUUUAGUUUACUGAUUAACUACAAUUUGCAGAUUAUUUUUGGCUGAGCUAAAGCAAGUAGUAAUAAUGCGUUAAUUGAUUCAAAGUGGACCUCAGUAAACUUGCAAACAUGGAAUAUUUUUUUUUGCGGGGUGAGCUGAAACAAAUAAUUAGGUUAUGUGUUGACAUAUUCUAGUUGGAUCUUGACGAUCUUGCAAAGAUGGAGUGAUUUACUAAAUCAUCAUAUAUUAGCAUGCAAGUAGAUUUCAUGGUUAAUUUACUACAAGCUAUAACGAGUUUCUUCUGUAAUAACUGGAACCUGAUGUGAAGUGUUACCAUUUUGAAUUGCAGGUCCUUUCCGUCAUAAGUUUCUGAGAAUGUUGCUACCUUUCUGGUCUAAUGCAUUGCCAACUCUACCAGUGACUGCACCACCACGUAAAGAUCUAGUUAAUACAAAUGAUGUUCCAGAAGGACGUCUGCGGCAUCAAAGAUCAUCAAAGAUGGAUCCCAGGAAAAUCUUACUCAUCAUGGCGAUCAUGUAACGUUCUAGAUUCUUUUAACGUUAAGUCUAUUCUUUAUUCACUGGCUGUUGUUGAGCACAAACACUUGAUCUGGUAUUGUAGUUGGAAAUUUUGCUGCUGCUGACCAUGCGAAAGCCUUUAUUCUAUAUGAACAGUUGAAUUGUCCAGCUUAUUUUGCUGCUCUAAAUUGACAUUUACAUGUUAUGCUAGUCAACAGAAAACCAUCAUUCCAUUCUUGAAUUCAUAUUAUUGCUGUCAGAACUUGCAGAAUAUCAUUUGCAUCGUAGUUUGAAGACACUAGUCGUCAUGUUUCUGUUUUCCAAUAUUUCUUGUUUGGUCCGUUUUCAUGCACUGUUCUAGGAUUUCCUAGGAUCUUGCAGGUACUGGUAGGAGCUCCCUCUUCAUAUAUAACUACAUUCAUAUGUUUGCUGGUAUAUUCCAAGUUUAUCAGAGUGCCCAACAUGCCCCAGGCUGCUUUCUAACUUGAUUAGUGUUAUGCAAUCAUUUUUUAUGAUUUGAUCGUAUCAAUGCAUAUUGGUGUCUUGUCCUAACAAGCAUCCUGGACAUGACUUGAUGGUUAUGUUUUAGGUAUUUCAGUCUUAUGCUGGAAUAUCACUCUUUCAUCCAGCACAAGCUUCUUUCUCUCAGAGAGUGAUCAUUUGUAAGUAUAAAUCCAUGCAAAGAAGCUUAAUGUGAAGUCUGUGUAUAUCUGCAGGGCAUGUUUGGCAACAAUGGGCAUUCUGUACUAUCGAUUGGCACAGCGCAGUCUUGGUGAAGAAGUGCCAGAAGAUGAACCUCAGUAGGUACUGUUUAGCCUUUUCUCAUGCUAGGGUUGUGUGGGAUUGUUUCAUAAACUUUUUGGUUUCUGGGCCUUCAUUCCAGGCCAUUUCCCUCCUGUGAAUUUCUUAAGGCGUAGCAAACAUACCGCCACCUACCUACUCCUUAUAGAGUGGUUAAAUGUUGUUUACCUGAUGUUCAAAGAACUUUUGCUUACCAAAUCAUUAUCUACUCAUUUUAGUCAUUCCCCUCCCUUAGAAGCCAUGUACAAUAACCACUUUUGGAUUGAAGGAUGCAACUUGUAAUCUGCUGAUAGCCCGAUCUAUUGUGCUCAUAGGUUGGUUUAUAUUAUGUCUUCCUUUGCCAUGAUUGCCAUAAUAAGAUGCAGUGAAUGCUAGCCAUGCUUGCCUUGCUGUUUGAGAUAACGUCGCCCUUAUGCUUGUCAAAUUCUGUUUGUUUCCUAAGGUUGUUGAGGACUAUAACAGAUGCAACGUAAGCUCUCAUUGGAUUAGUCUGCCCUCUCCGCUUCUGGAAAUAUGUGCACUUUAUGUUCAAGUGAGGUUCUGACUUCAGAACCAGAUCCUUGUUUUUAAAAAAAUUGUCAUCAAGGUGAAUUUGAGUCAUAUGGAGAUGGUUAUGGAUUUGCCAUUUAACAGGCGGUACUCGUUUUCCUUAUAUAUUUUGGUUCUACCUAUCUAUUUCAUAUAAAGUUAAAAAAGAAUAUGUCUUUUGUACAAAUUGAUAUUUAUCUAGAAGAGCUCUCUUCCACAAUGAUUUUUUAUACUCAACAGUUGAAGCUGAUGAUGUUUGGGUGCAGUUGACUUAGUGGGUAUGGGGAAACGAACAUAAAUAGUCGACUAGUCUUUAUAUAUACAUAUAUUAACUUGGCCCUCUAUCGCCAUGGUUUUCGAGCUAUUUAGCCCUUCUAUACUUGGGAAUUUUUCUAUAUGAAUUAAUGUAGGAACCACGAAUCCAACCGACCAAUGUUUCAAUUCUUCAACAAGGCAGUUGACUUUAGGAGUUGUGGGGAAUGAAUUCAGAAAGUCAAUUAUUAUUUUGUUUGUUUGACAUGUGCUUAUUCUUCUGUCUCCAUGGUUUAUCCAUCCAUUUGACUUCUAUUGAACUUGGACAUUAUUGGUUCAGUUCGGCACGUUUUUAACCAUAUGAAUCAAAGGGCGAAGGCAUAAAUUCAACGAUUCACUGCUUCCCUUUUUUUUUCCCCCUAAAUAUUGAAAUGUUGAUGAGUGAUGUGUUUGUUGACUUCUUGGGUUUUCGGAAAUAUAUUUAGACCUUCAACUUUCAACUAACAUCAUCUAAAAGGUAUAAAUUGGGGAUAAUUAUAUAUUGACUUUUUUUUGGUACAAUAGCGGUUUACAUAUAACGGGAAUGAAUGUGACUAACAAAAUUAGAAAAUAAAAGACUACAUAAGAGCUCUAGCACAGACCUGCGGUUCGCUUAGAUAAAACUUUCAGAGUGGUGAGCUGCAAAGUAAGCAACUUAGUCUGUGGCACCGUUUGUUUUUUUGUAAACGUGCGUGGCUUGGUGGGAGUCGCACUCCUCCAGUAAUCUGUGAAUAUCGUGGAUCAGAGGUCGGUCUUCGACUGUGCAUCUUCGACUCUGGAUCUACUCAAUCACUAUGGCCGAAUCUCUCUCGAGGAGGAGGUUGUUCGCUCUCAGUAUCCAUCUUAUAUAGGAGAUACCCUUCUAGGCAGCUCUAAGUUCGGUGCACAUCACUGACGAGUCGAAGAUCUGUUGAUCCUCCGCCGCUACUAGUCUGGCAUCGUAGUUUCUAAUAAUGAAUUUCAUGAUUUCUGAUGAUAAAUUUCAUACCUCUGCAUCUCUCGUCCUUAGACCCUUCAACUUGAAAAAUACCUAGCGUCCAACACUAUCAAAACCUCAUCUAACAUCUUGAAGUUAUUUUUUUAGCACGAAAAGGUGAGCGAAUCACGUGCGCUUCAUGUGAUCUCUUUCUCUGGUUAUAGGUUUGGAGUUUGACCCAAAGAGGGGCGCCACGACUUCAUCACGAAGUGCAUAAUCUUGAGAUUCGAGGAAGAGAGAGAUGGAGGGAGAUCGAGAGAGUCAACAUGGAGUAGAGAGAUGACCAUGCCAUCGAGUUAAAACUCCAGCCAAAUGUUUGUAUACAUGUCAAUAGAGUUUAAAAAGAAGGUAUAACAAAUAUUUUGUGAAAAAAUACAUGCAUAAUUAAACAAGAUAAUGACAAGGUAAUUAGCAAGUCCUUAUUUUUAAGCUAGCAUUGCAGGGAAAACAAAACAAAUAAAUAAAUAAAUAAAUUCUCUUUGCGACGAUACCCAAUGUUGCACCCCUUCGUAUGUGUGCGUCCUAUCGGACGUGGUCCCCACAUGUCACUGAGAGGGUGCCGUUUUGAGUGCAUCAAGGUGUCCUCAACAACGGAGGUAGUCUAGCGUUGUCUUAACCCAAAAAAAAAAAGGGCUAGUUUUCAAGACCGUCCUUUCAUUUUAAAAGCUUAGAAUAUUGUCCCUAGUCCCAAAUCCGGACAAAACCCAUGUAGAUACGGACUAGCAAUACAUAUAUGUACGACUUGAACAUUAUCAUCACAUCAUAAGAUACAUAUUUUUUAAAAAUAUCUUUUACUGCAUAUAAAAACCUAAUGAUGCACGUCUCACGAGCUUACACGCGUUGUGGCUCCUAAUGAUUGACCCAUUUUUUCCUCAAGAAUCAUGUGUCUGUUUUUUUCCUUGUGUCAUCUAUUUUCUUUUGAUUUUAUUGACUAUAUCUACACUCGUAGCGUAUGAAGCACUAUUGUACUAAAAAUAAUAAUAAUAAAAAAAACCCUUUUCUGUAUGCACAAAAGUUAAAUAAAUAAGUCUAUUGUUUUGUUUGUCCUUGAAGGAGCCAUGCCUGAUUUACACUCCGGAGUUUUUAUAUGGAAUGGCACUGGCCCCAUUCCGGAGGAUCUCGAUCGUAUUUUGUAUUCUGAUUUCUCGUGGCGCACUAACAUCCAUGUGUAAGUGAGAUGAUGGUAUAUCAAAACAAUAAAUAAAUAAAUAAAUAAUAGAGGAGACACAAGAGACAGGAUGCAGCGGCCUUGGACUUCCCCUGGAGUUGAACAAAUUUCGUGCGUUCCUGCACGUUCUCUAAGAUAAAUAAUUCGAUAUUUUUUUAUUGGAUUGUGUUUUCUCUGCGUUUCAUUGGAAUAUUCCUAGGGAGAAUUGGGUUAGGCUUUGGCCCAUGAGAGUUUGUUCUAAACAGCUAAUAGCCAUCUGGUGGGACGUGUAAGGUCUCUUUUGGAUUACAAUAUGGUCAUCAUCUACCCAUGUACAUUUGUUUUGGACAUUGUUUUCCAAGCUGGAUGUGGUUUAGCUUACAUUUACGUAUGUUUGCAUGUAUAUGUGAUUCGUCGCUCUCUGAAGUUGAUCCAAUGGAUAUUACGAGUUGUGUUGCAUGUGAGUCAAGGCAUAUAUAUAGUUUAUGAGAACUGUUUGAUUCCCUUUAAAUACUUCAUAUUGUGGUAGGGCUUUAGGUUGAGCUGGUGCAUAUGGUUGUGCAUGCUACCAAUCAUAAUCGUUCGUUUUUGUGCGUUCUAUACAUCAAGCGCGUAUCUCGGUGCUCCGCUACAGAAAAUAGCAGUUGUGUUUAAUGGCGUGCACGGCCACAUGAUGCAUGCAAUGUAGGAAGUAAUUUUUUUGGCGCAUAUUAGGUUCUCUGCAAAGAGGAAUCUAAGUUUCCUCUCUGGGCUUGGAUUCAAAAUCAGUUUAUUAAUUAGGUUUUCGUGCACCACUUAGCAUAAGAUGUCAUUUUUAAAUCUCAAAACGGGCCGAUUUACUGUGGCAACUUAGUUUCCACCUUGCAAAGCACCUAAACUGUAUCAUAAGAGAAUAUUAUUAGAACUCGGGUCAAGCUUAAUUGUAAAUAAUUAAGCUUAAUUCAGCUCUUAGUUGAAAGAGUUUGAUUAAACUAGUUAUCAAGCCAAAUUUAAGCUUUUACUUAUUUUUUAAACAAAUGUACAGUGUUGGAUUGUUAAAUAAGCUUUAAAUGAGGCUUGAACUUGUCUUGUUUGUUAUGCAAGUGAGCUCAAUCACACACCCAAGCUGUUGUGAAUGGUCCGGCAUGCUAGGUUGAUCUUAUGUAUCUAGAUGGGGAACAAAGUUACAAUAUUCUCGAAAUUAUUAAAAAAAAUUUCAAUCAAUAUCGAGUCUAGCAAGUUAGCAUCGUAUGGUUAAAUUUUCUAAGUAUGAUUAUGAUGGUGGUGUUGUUGCUGCUCGCUUAGCGGGAUGCUUCCUCGCGAAGCAUCAUGUGGCCCUACUAAGUGCACUAAUGGAGAACUUUCACUACUUUAAGGGGGUGCUUGUUUCACGACUGAAAUCGAAAUUAGAAUAAAAUCGGAAUGAAUUGGAAUGAAAAUCGAAAUCAUCAUAUCCUUCGACGUAUUUGGUUUGUGACUGGAAUCGGAAGCAGAAUCGAAAUGAAAAUAUUAGAAGAGAGUAGGGAUUGGGACUCUCUCCAACCAAAUGGCUGGAAUGGAAGUUACUCAUUUUCAUUUCUAACCAGAUUGCCACUACUCGCAACCAGACAUGCCCUACAAGACAUCGGGCAAUCUCAACAAAGAGAAGGCCGAACCAAAGUGACUUAAUACUUGGGCCAAGGAAUCAAUUAGGGUAUAUGUAACCACCAAAUAGUCUAUGAUCUCAUGGUUUCUUAGUCCAAAGUCGGUAUUCAAUAAAUGAAAACCCCUAAGACAUGGUGUUCAACCGGGUAGCAUCUCUCAAACUGGACUCUUAACUUGCUCCAAGAGUCGUGCAGGCUGUUAAAAUUUCGCACCCGGCAAGAGCCAAGCCACCAACUUCCACUAAUUUAGAUGUCUAAUCUAUGUGAGUGAUGCUAAAUGGUGCCUAAUUUGUGCAGCAAAAGCUUCUCUUCCUACGUGGCACAAGUGGAUUGGCACGACUCAUGGGAAUUAUAGUGCAAUAUAUGGACACUGGUCGAAUAUAGAGUUGCCGAGCCAGCAUUAGAUAGAUUCUAAAAACUUUUUGUGUGCACGAACAGGUGCCCCUAUGCAUUUUUCAAUUUAAAUUAUUAGGCUGUCGAAGAUUUAUGAUUCUAAUUCUAAUAUCCUCUAUAAUCUAUCAGUUUGGCUCUCAGACUUAAGGAGUUUGGCUUUUAUUUACUAAAUAUAAGAUCUGAGCAUCUAAUCUCAGCUCUUAAUCUCCAUUAAAUAUAUCGAAGAUUCAAGCGAAUUAGAGGAUUAAAUAAUCUCUAUUAAAUAUAUCGAAGAUUCGAGCGAAUUAGAGGAUUAAAUACAUAUUGGAAACAAUCUUUGCCGGCAAUUGUGGCGGAGAUAUAUCGCUGGCGUUUCUUAUUUUAAUGCGUUAUUAUAUUGCAAAUGAAGACUUCUAACACUUGUGUUAUCAAGGCCUGUUCUCUAAAAAGAAUACACAAAGACAGCAAGAUCACCGACCAGGUUAUCUUGACGCAUUUAUAGGCCAUGAUCAUGCUUAGCCAGAUACAUGGAGCAGGCCAUUUACUUCAAAAGUAAACAUAUACUAGAUCAUGCUUUAUGUUAUCUUCAUGGCUAAAAAAAGAUCACUCAAUCUUUGUAAAGACUUAGGGAGGUGGCCAUGACUGUGUAACCCUAGAACUCCUAAACCCGACACAUUUAAGACACAUUUCUCUUGGUCCUAACAUUGUAUUUCAUAUUAAGCUCUUGCAUUGAUGAUAAUUAUCUCUUAAUUUUGAAGAAAGAGGAAGGGGGUUCGAUUCCGAGUGGUGUCGGCCCUCGCUUCGACUCUCAAUUAACUUAAUCCCAGUUUCACAAGCUCUAGCUCUGUUUAUCAAAGUAGGGAGAUGGUGCUAAGAUAAUUACUAGAGAAAAUUAGUCCUACCUUUCUUUCUUUUUUUUGGUUGUAACAGGGCAUUGGAGGUGGUGCCUCAGGAUUAUUAAAAUUUGCCUCUAUAAACUUAUUUCUUCCUCAAGUCCGUGACCUGAAACUUUUGCAAUGAUAUUAGCAAUUAGUCGCAUGGGCCAUAACUUGCUUUAUAGGUGGCACAUAUUUACAAUAUAAAAUGACUAUGGAGCAAUUUUUUUUUUAAAGUUAACAGAAAAUGCCCUGCACAAUAAUUGAGCUCUUGAUUAAUGCAACACACGCCCAUCCUUUUCUUUCUCUUUCUCUCUUUUUCUCGCGCGCGCACAAGUAGACAGACUUUACUCUUUUUGAAAGCGAAGGAUAUCUAAUUCUCUCAAUCUAAACUCAAUAAUAAGAUACUUAAAUCAAUAAUCCAUACUAUUGAUCAUAAUCUAUACUAGUAAAAAUACCUUAAAGCCAAAAAUCACAUAUUUGAGAGUCUCUAAUCUAUGCAUCGAACAAAUACAACAAUGAAUGGUUAAAAUGAUAUGGGUAUACAAUCUAAGUAUUAGAAUAUGUUAAAUUUGAAUCUCUACAAUUUUUAAGAAAUAUAGAUUAUGAUUAAUAUCUCUAUAUAAUGUAAACCAUCCACUUUUUGCCUGCUUGAUAUAUAAGUUAGAGAACAUCAAAACAUGCAUUUUUUUAUUUCUAAAUAUUUUAGUUGAUAUAUAUUAUGAUAAAUUGUGUAGAUCUUCGAAUUUUGAUUGUUGAUUUUGGAUCUUAGAGGAGAUACCUAAAAAAAAUAAAGAAGAUACCAUGAUAAAGCUACUUAAAUCAACACUUUUAUCCACCAAGUCAUAUAUGAGCUCCUCAAGACUGUUAAGACUGAUGAGCAUCCCUUUGAGAUCUCGCUAAAGUCUCAUGGUGGUAGCACCACGAACAUAGGAUCGAGUUCUCAGGAAAGGCUACGUUCUAUUGGUGUAGCCAAAAAAAUUCUACAGCCUUGUGUAUCAAAAGAAAGUGACCAAAAUGACCUCCCAAGUCCCAAGCCACUUUUGCUUGAUUGGUGAAAAAUAAUUGGUAUCAACUCUCUCUCUCUCUCUCUCUGCAUUUUUUCUUUUCAGAAAAGAAAAAAUGCUGUUGUUUCUACAAAUAUAAGUAGAGAGAAAAAAGACGACUCCUUUCAGAUGGAGAUGGAGAGAACAAACAAAAUAAUGGGCAAGUGUUAACUUAGCACAUUCCUAAUACUCAUUGUAAGAAAAGACUAAAACUGUAGAAGCUGCAGAAUAAUGAAUCAACACAAAAAAUUUCAUAGAGUGAUUUUGGAAGUCGCUUUAUUUUUUCACCUCAAGCUCACAGAGAGGACUGACGUUUAAUCCAUAAAGUGCUUAGAAUUGUUUGUAGCUGCCAAAAACCAUGAUAUCCUAACAAUCUGUAAGCCAGGGAAUGUGCAGCAUCCGUGGGAGACAAUAGAUCACUUCUUCUGAUGCUCUGUCCCUUUUUCUUUAGAACUCCUUCAGAAUUUUCAGAACUCCUCCCCACGUUCCUGCAGGCCUCUUCUCUUCCCCUCCUUUCUUUAUUCCCACAAAAAAAACAACAAAAAAAAACAUCCCUAGAUUAAUUUAAUCCCUUAACAACACUCCCCACGUCCUUCCUACCUACAUUUAUAGUCUAAGCCUCUCCUAAUCAUAAGCUUAUCACCUUUCCAAUCAUUCGCUUUAGACCCUGGGAGCCCUUAUAUGAAUCCCAGUGAAUGCCAACUUCACAAAGUCUUAGAUAAGCUAUUUUGUUAUUCUCCUGCGAAGAAACCCUUCUUUUUUUUUUUAUUCCAUCAUUGCCUGAAUUUAGCACUCUUUGAGCUGUAUCGCCCCCAUGGUGGACUAUGAAAUAUGUUUAUUAUUGAUAACUAAACGAUUUUCUGCCAACUGAAGCCAACUCUAUGCUUGUCGCAUUCUAUAAAACCAACCAUUAUAAGUACACAAUCAUCAGCUUCGUUAGGCCUCACCAAGCCAUUCUAUCAGUGCUCAUUCCACCUUGAGUCCCUCCUUUUGUAUCACCACCCAGAUUUCUAACUCCGAAAUGGAGCCUGAAGGAUUGGUCUCAGAAGCAAGCUGGAACUCAUUCGAUGCAGUGAUGUCGGCCGAGGAGUCUGAGAUGAUUGCACACCUGCUAGGUGGCCACCAAUUCCUGAAUGAGCUUGAUCAAGACCCGACCAUCGAAAUGCCACCAAUCUUUGGGCCGGACCAUGGUGCUGAUCAGUAUUAUUGUUUGCAUGAAACUAGUUACAAUCCAUACUAUUGUUCUCAGGGGACAAGUAGCACUAGUACUAGUAGUUUCUCUCUUCCCCUUGCUGACAAUGGAUGCAGCUACUUGAGUGAUUCUAAUGCUGUUCCAGAGAUCAGCAUCAGUCCCACCACCACAGUGGAUUUUAGCAUUGAGAAAGAGCAAAUCGUUGCUCCAUCCCUUGCUGUUGUUUCCUGUCAUCAAUUUAAUGAGCCAAUUUGUGCGACAGAGAAGACAUGCAGCGACGAAUUCAGAGUCUCAAAGGAGAAGUCAUCGGCGCCUGCUCUUCCUUCUCAUCAGAACUCACAAGCCGCCAAGAAAAGGAUGCAUGUAAGUGAUGCUGAGCAGCCCACUACAAAUGAAAAAGAUGGCACCUCGAUUGGAAGUCCUAAGAAGAAGGCUCGGGCCUCGACACUGGUGAGUGUGCAACUUCUUUUCUAACUACAACUCUACACAUAUCUGAUCUCUAAGUUUCCAUUGGAGUACUUUCUAGAUAUUCUGAUGAAGAGAGUGCUACAUAUAUUAGGUACCUAAGAAGGGGAAGAAUGCUCAGUCUAAGAAAGCUCAAAAGAGUGUAUGUACUGGCAAUGAGGAAGACAGCAAUGCUGACUUAAAUGGGCAGAGCUCCAGCUGCUACAGCUCGGAGGAUGAUUCAAAUGCCUCCCAGGAGCUGAUCGGAGGAGGAAAAACAAGAGCAGGUCGGCGGUCGGCGACUGAUCCCCAGAGCCUCUAUGCAAGGGUAAAUACUUGGAUUUCAUUUGAAACCUAUGGUGCAAUAAUCCUGCUGCGAACAUUUUGGGGUUCUGAUGUCGUUGCCACUUCAAUAAUUUCAACAGAAAAGGAGAGAAAGAAUCAAUAAGAGAUUAAGGAUCCUGCAGAGCUUGGUUCCCAAUGGGACCAAAGUAAGUUUUGGUUACUGCAUUAGUCCUGCUUUGCUACAAAAUUUUCAGAUUGAAAUAUGCCGGAUAGUUAGUGAGUUGAAAUGGGUAUGAUCUUACAGGUAGACAUUAGCACAAUGCUUGAAGAAGCAGUUCAAUAUGUGAAGUUUCUCCAACUCCAAAUUAAGGUGAGGAUUCUCUGCCUCAUUUUAGUGUUAAAGUACAAACUAAAUUCAACAACACAAAACUAAAGGACACGUUCAUAAACAAGUCCAAAUCUAUUGAAGACUUAACAACCAUACAUUUUCUUUUAUCCUAAGACAAGGUAGUUUGAUGUAAUUAGCAUUUAAACCAGUUUACUCAAGAUAUCUGAAUUGUAGUAAUUUUUCUCCAAUUUAUGUGUGCAGCUUUUGAGCUCGGACGAGCUGUGGAUGUAUGCUCCCAUCGCUUACAAUGGGAUUAACAUUGGACUUUGAUCUAACAAUAUCUCCACCUUCAACAGUGAGAUCCAAAUGGACUCAAGACUUUUGAGAUUGCACCAGCACUCACAGCCAAAGAGAUGGUGCUGCAUCUAUGUUGUUUGCAAGUCUCUCAAAAUUAUAUCAUUAUUCUUUUUUUUAUAGAUUCAUUACUACAUAGUAAUAGGUGCAUCUAAAUAAGCUAUUCUUCUAUCUGAGGACUGAGCUUAAUGAUCACAUUGAUCAGUAUCUCAGAGAUUUUUACACCGAUCUCUGAGUGUGGGAUGUAGAUGGGGUGAACCCCCACUUUCAAAACAUCGACACCAAUUCUUCUGUUCAUUAUAUGUAAAAUUUCCUAUUGAAAUGAGCUUGGCACUGCUAAAACUCUUUCCUCCAAGAUAGCAAUGACCAAUGGAGGCUAAUCACAGUUACAACUCCGGAUUACGGCUAUACAACCCUGAAUGGACCCAUAAAAUAUAAAUGGCAUCAGGUCGACUUGGGUUUCACCAGGAUUGGGCUAUGCAAUGGGGGUUAGCCCUCUCCUAAAUAGCCAUGCUUACACUUAAAACUGAAUCUUAAUAAUUAAAAUAGGUUGAUUGAUCCCUGAUUCAAUAAAAUUUCUUCAAAAAUUAGCAGCCUUUGUGUCCAUUAUGGGCUUCGUUUGGUUCUAUUUUUGUCAUUAAAAUGAGUAGGACAAGCUCUAUAAAGUGUUAUUUUAGCCAUAGUUUAAGGGUUAGCCUAAUCCAUGUAAAAUGGUUCAGCCAAUGAAUGUGGGAGAAAUCUCUGUAUUGGAAUGCGGCCUUCACCUAGCGGUGAUAGCUUUGAAGAUCAUGGAAAGGUUUUAGCUUGCCAUUGGCAUCAACCAUGUCUGAACUCACGGCGGUGGUGGGGAGCAAGUGGUGCAAACCCACCCAUAUAUUACUGAGAUGAAAUUCACGCAUGAGGAUAAAAGUGGAUUAGAUAACAUCAUAUGCAUAUCCAAAUCUAUGUAAAUAUGAAUGCAUAUUUAAGCAUCCAACUAAUACCCAUAUCUAUAUUCAUAUUCAUGAAAAAUAGAUAUAGACACGAAUAGACAAUUACUCAAUUUGUAUUACAUUAUCUGGUUCUAUUUAUAAUUCUAUAUAACCUUUAAGAAAAAUAAAUAACUAAUCAUAAUAAAUUGUUAUUGACUUAAUUUACCUACCACUCUGUGAUAAUUUUGAUUUGAUGACAUUAAGUUUAACUAUCUAACUUAUAUCCGAUAUCCAUACUUUCAAUUUAUAAUUUGUAUACAUAUCCAUGGAAAUGAAUUUUGUAUCCAGUUGAUAUCUCAACCACUUCCAAAUUUUGUGGCAUGCAUGGUUUGCAGACUUUAAGCUUGAGUUCAAUAGUGGACAUGGAAACAUAAUAUGGAGAACUAGGAGGUAGAUGAUGGUUAGGCCAGCAUGCAGAGGGAAUGGCUAGAGAAAACUGGGCAAAAGAUUUAGGAAGCAACAGCUUGGAGGGAUUCCAAUUUUAGCAUAUAUAUAUAUAUAUAUAUAUUUAUAUAAAAGAAAAGGCAUAGAUUCUCAAAAGGUACAGAUCUCGAAAUAUAUAGUGUGGAUGGAUGUCCCCCUAAAAAGAACAUUAACGUGGGUGAAGGGGUGAGAAAGAGAGAGAGAGAGAGGAGGGCAACCAUUACGAUUCCAAGCCCUCACAUGGAAUAGAGGUCAGCUUUAGAGUAAAAUUUAUGAACGAGCAUCCUUUGAACAUGAUGCCAGAUUAUUCGCCAAGACAAAUUCCGACAAGAGAUUACCAAUGAAAACCACAUGUGUAGUCAGCAAGCAGGAAAAUCUACUGAUCUACUUUACUAGUUGCAAUUUAAACUUGUACACUGGCAACACGUAUGAAAUAAGAAACCAUCCUAUGGAGCACCAUCUCUAGAAUUUUUCCAUAAAUUAUGUUGUCAAAUCACAUAUACAGAGAUGAUUAAGUCCAGAAUCUAUAAAUGUCUUGUGCUGAUAAGAAUAAGAAUCUAUAUUGUAAUUCCAGCUCAUGCAACCAAGGAACAAUCAUAUAAAUAAAAAAAAUAUUAGAAUAUUGUCAUGCUGGUCUAUCGCCGUAUGAACUAAAAAGGCCAUCAUACCACCAAGCACAAUUUCUGUUGAGCAUUCAUGCUUUUGGCUAUGUUAUCAAACUACAAGUAAGAUUUGGGAUAUGAUGUGCACAAAAACCUAUACAUGUACUGUCUUGANNNNNNNNNNNNNNNNNNNNNNNNNNNNNNNNNNNNNNNNNNNNNNNNNNNNNNNNNNNNNNNNNNNNNNNNNNNNNNNNNNNNNNNNNNNNNNNNNNNNNNNNNNNNNNNNNNNNNNNNNNNNNNNNNNNNNNNNNNNNNNNNNNNNNNNNNNNNNNNNNNNNNNNNNNNNNNNNNNNNNNNNNNNNNNNNNNNNNNNNNNNNNNNNNNNNNNNNNNNNNNNNNNNNNNNNNNNNNNNNNNNNNNNNNNNNNNNNNNNNNNNNNNNNNNNNNNNNNNNNNNNNNNNNNNNNNNNNNNNNNNNNNNNNNNNNNNNNNNNNNNNNNNNNNNNNNNNNNNNNNNNNNNNNNNNNNNNNNNNNNNNNNNNNNNNNNNNNNNNNNNNNNNNNNNNNNNNNNNNNNNNNNNNNNNNNNNNNNNNNNNNNNNNNNNNNNNNNNNNNNNNNNNNNNNNNNNNNNNNNNNNNNNNNNNNNNNNNNNNNNNNNNNNNNNNNNNNNNNNNNNNNNNNNNNNNNNNNNNNNNNNNNNNNNNNNNNNNNNNNNNNNNNNNNNUAUUUUUGAUUUUAUCUACCAUCAAAAAUGUGAUAUUGGCAGAACUUCCAAGGUUUCACACAAAAUCCUAAAGCAACUUUGCACAAACAUGGCUCUUGUAUUUACUCCAAGCUAGUUGGCAGGUAGGAAAACUUUUCUUACCGCCUUUUUGGUUUAAGCUAAUGCAAGCAAGUAAUUACCAAAUUGAGGUUUAUGGGAUGAAAUAGUUCCCAUAAAGUAUAAAGAAGGAAGCAUUUGAUAUAGGGAACUGCAUUUAAUUUUAAGGCCCAGAAACUGGAAGCCAAAGAGACUGUGAACAAAAUCCUCAUCACAGGGACCACAAAACUAAUGAAUUUAAAUAUAGUCGGCCAGAAAUUAUCAACUUACCCUCAACCUAUAUUUGUACAAAAUAUAUGCUCCAAAAGCAGCAAAAGCCAAGACUCCUAAGAUCACCCACACAGCAGCCUGUGUUGCCUUGGCUUCACCAGCGCUCUUACCUGCAAAUAAAACAUCAAAACAAUAUCAAGCAACAGAGUUUUACGAAGAUGUUGACUAUUACUCAUGCUAAAUUACAAAUCUCACUUAUGCAAGUGUCAUGUUCUCUGAUGUACAGAAGAUCUCCACUACAUGUGCACUCGUAACUUCCCCAAGUAUUUUUGCAGCUGCAUUCAGGGCACUGGCAUGCUGUCUUCUCCUUGCAUUCAUCAAUAUCUGUGGAUGAAAAAGGAUAUGAUUACCUAGAAUGACAAAUUUGCCAGAGUUUGAUCAUCUGACAUAUAUAGGAAGAUUUUUUUUUUCUUUUUGCAAUAUGAAAUGCUGAGAUGAUUUCUUGAGGUGUAAAGCAAAUAAAUUUACAUGAUUUGAGCAUCAAUUUUAACAAGAUCCAAUAUAUGUAUUAUCAGACACAACAUUAUUGUAAUGAAUANNNNNNNNNNNNNNNNNNNNNNNNNNNNNNNNNNNNNNNNNNNNNNNNNNNNNNNNNNNNNNNNNNNNNNNNNNNNNNNNNNNNNNNNNNNNNNNNNNNNNNNNNNNNNNNNNNNNNNNNNNNNNNNNNNNNNNNNNNNNNNNNNNNNNNNNNNNNNNNNNNNNNNNNNNNNNNNNNNNNNNNNNNNNNNNNNNNNNNNNNNNNNNNNNNNNNNNNNNNNNNNNNNNNNNNNNNNNNNNNNNNNNNNNNNNNNNNNNNNNNNNNNNNNNNNNNNNNNNNNNNNNNNNNNNNNNNNNNNNNNNNNNNNNNNNNNNNNNNNNNNNNNNNNNNNNNNNNNNNNNNNNNNNNNNNNNNNNNNNNNNNNNNNNNNNNNNNNNNNNNNNNNNNNNNNNNNNNNNNNNNNNNNNNNNNNNNNNNNNNNNNNNNNNNNNNNNNNNNNNNNNNNNNNNNNNNNNNNNNNNNNNNNNNNNNNNNNNNNNNNNNNNNNNNNNNNNNNNNNNNNNNNNNNNNNNNNNNNNNNNNNNNNNNNNNNNNNNNNNNNNNNNNNNNNNNNNNNNNNNNNNNNNNNNNNNNNNNNNNNNNNNNNNNNNNNNNNNNNNNNNNNNNNNNNNNNNNNNNNNNNNNNNNNNNNNNNNNNNNNNNNNNNNNNNNNNNNNNNNNNNNNNNNNNNNNNNNNNNNNNNNNNNNNNNNNNNNNNNNNNNNNNNNNNNNNNNNNNNNNNNNNNNNNNNNNNNNNNNNNNNNNNNNNNNNNNNNNNNNNNNNNNNNNNNNNNNNNNNNNNNNNNNNNNNNNNNNNNNNNNNNNNNNNNNNNNNNNNNNNNNNNNNNNNNNNNNNNNNNNNNNNNNNNNNNNNNNNNNNNNNNNNNNNNNNNNNNNNNNNNNNNNNNNNNNNNNNNNNNNNNNNNNNNNNNNNNNNNNNNNNNNNNNNNNNNNNNNNNNNNNNNNNNNNNNNNNNNNNNNNNNNNNNNNNNNNNNNNNNNNNNNNNNNNNNNNNNNNNNNNNUAAAAAAUAAAAAAAAUUAAGUAGUACAUAUUACAUAUUUAGAAAUAUUUCUGAAGUAAAUUUUUUUAAAAAUUUAUAGUAUUUAAACAUAUUUUUAAAAUUUAAAAAAUUAUUAAAAAAUAUAUAAAUAAAUCAAAAAAUAUGAAAAAUUAGUACCAUAUAUUAGAUAAGUUAGAUGUAUUUUCUAAAGUAAAAAAAUAUUUUUUAAUCAUCAUAACAUUUUGCUAUUUUAAAAUAAUUGAUAAACCGAGUUACUUGAUAAAUCUGCAAGAAUGGAACUAUUAAAGAAAGAGGCUAGAGCGACACAUUGGUUGGGAUUAUGGGUAAAUGCUCUUGAGUUGGCACCAUUGGAAGUGCAACUAGUGCAACAUAUAGUUCAAUGGUGGAAGGAUAACCAGGUUGAAGUAGCACCUAGCUGGUAGUUAUCCCGACGUAUCUAUGUACCGGAAAUGCUGCUGAUGAAGCAUUUCAUUCAUUUUAAAGUAGCAAAGUAGAGGGUUUCCAAGAAGCUGGAGAUGGACUGCCGAGCGGCAGAGCCCUUUCUAUCACUCCAGAAAAUUAGAUGAGGCGUGUGCUCCAGAUGAUGAGACAGAUCCUGGUUGUCAUUCAAACGAGCCUAGAUGAUCAGUGGCAGCAGGAUGAGGUGGCCAGACAUAUGGCUCGAUUUGGGCCCUCAUACUACGUGUCGGGCUCCAGUUUUGCGAUCUAGAGUUCAGAAGAACUUCCUCAGUUAGGAAGGCUGUCGGUAGAGGUGGUGGCUGUAUAUUAGAUCCUAUCAUCCGCAGCCAUAGGCGCCGCACCUAUGACCUAUAUAGAUACGGAUAUGGAUAUGGUAUGUCUGAGGCAUUGUCUUCCGAUGGUAACUAUCCUACGUAGCCCGAAGCAUCUUAGAGGUCAAAUUUUGCUGCUGGCAUAUUCGGAUGGGCUCCUCCAUAGCCGUAUUAUCAGCCAAAGGACAUCUCUCAGAGCUAGAACUUCAGCGAGAUAUUCUUAUAAUCCAGAGUGCGUUCUUUAUAGGAUGAGUGUACAAGACUACAAUAUUGUUUAGUUAGAGGAAUGGGUUGAUAUGCCUUCUGAUUAUGCUAAUGAUCUGGAUAUCUACAAGAAGCAUUUCCACCCAACGAGAUUUUAAAUAUCAAUAUGUAUAUUGUACUUUAAAUAUAUGUAAUUGAUUGUAUCAUUUUGUAUUUUGUAUCACAUUAAUUGAUUUUAGGAUACUUCAUGUUGCUUCUUGUAGCAUGCAACAUCUCACUAAUCAUUUUAUAUUUUGUACCAUUUUAAAACAACAAGAUGCAUCAUUUAGGUUAUGUCGGAAUCAUAGAAACAUUAAAAAAAAUCAAAAAACAUUAAAUUAUACUUAAAAUGAUUGAAAAAAUGAAAAAAAAAAUUACCAAUAAAUCAAACUUAAAAAGCUUUAAAAAAAAUUUGGCGUGUCAAUUCAGGAUUGGCAUGCCUUGGCAUACCGUGUCGGUAUGAUACCGAACUGAUACCGUACCGAGCUGUUCGCUAACCGAUACGGGUUCUAGUACUGGUUCGGCGAACCUUGAUACAUAUUAUUUAUUUGCAUAGUUUCGACAAGUUUUAGGCUAAAUUAUUUCUUUUUUUAAUAGAAAAUGAAGUAAGCACUCCACCAAACUUCAGUAAGGGAAUGAAGGUUACAAAAGUUUCGGAGCAGAAUCUCAGAAACAUAGAAAAAGAAAAUGAAAUGCAAUUUUAAACAUAAGGGAGGAAUGUGCUGAGGCCUUUUAAGGAGGAGCUAAGUCUUUCCAAGAGGCUAAACGAAGUUUGAGAACAGAUUGCCAGUUUUAUUGCCUUCCUGAAAGUUUUAUUUCCAGUUACAAUAAUAUUUCUGCUUUCUUGAAGAAUAAUAUCAAUUACAGUGCUAUUACUUCUUGACUUUAAUUGUUAAAAACAAUAUAUUUAGUAGACGUGGAGCCUUUUAAGUGCAUAGAACAAUCACAUAGUUUUCUUUAUGUUUUAGUAAACCCCCAAGUACAUUUGUUUUAGGAAUUACUUUCUCAUAUAUUUGAGGUGAAGGGGCUAUUGAAUCAAAUGCAUAUAGCUAUGGAUUUUUCUAUCAUUUUUAUUUCUUGAAAAAUUGUGAUAGGAGGAAGAUUGACCAAAAUCAGCAUGGGGGCAGGCUCAAACCUAGGUUACUGGAAUCCAACACCCAGUGAUAUUACCAAUUGAGCCAAUUCGCAACCUUGAUGUAAUUAUGAGAUGUAUUUAUUUUAUGUAAAAAUAUCAUUCUUUUGAAAUGCGCUAUAAUUCAAAAUAAUCUUUGUGACACACACAAUAAAGGCCUUCUCAGAAGCCUUGGCCUGUCAAAUGUUAUAUUUAUUAUCUAUCCCCUCUUUCAACUCAAGAAAAGAAAAACAAUUCAAAAUUGACACUACAUAGCUUACGUACUUGAAUAAAUAAAAAAAUGACAACAAUAUAAUAGCUAACACCAAAACAAAGCUUUAAAAAAAUCUGCAUCUAGUUUGCGCCAAAACUAAUUGGACAUCAUAGACAUUCAACAAAAUUUUAGAUAUCGGUACAUAUUUUAUACUUUAAGUCCAUUAAAGAGACUCCAUUUGUUAUAUUAUAUGUAUAUUCAAAUAUAAGUACUUUAAUUGUACUUCAAGUCCAUUUGAUGACAAAAAAGACAUAAAACAACAUCAAAAUACUAAAUCAAUCAAUCAUAAUGAUAAAAAUAAUACUAAAAAUAAAAAUAAAUUAAAAAACUAAAAAAAUGAAAAAAGAAAAAAAAGAAAAUGGAAUACUUAUCAGAUGAUCAGUACACCAUGUCAUACCGUAUAGGUCAGCGACCGGUACGGCACAUGGUAUAGGUUCGGCAAACCUUGUUUUAGAACAUUGUUUCUCCUAUCCUUUCCAAUCACCAAACAUUAGGUUGGAUCAAUCUGACCAUCUACUUGCCCUUCGUCUCAAAGAUCGAUCACUGAUGUCCAUAUAUAUGUUUGGGAUAGUGAGCAAUGUUAGACCUAACCCUAAUUAGAUCCUUCCUGUAGUUCCUCGCAAACAUUGCAGACCAUCCCCAAUUAGUCCUGCAUAUUGCUCCUUUAUUCUCUCUCACUUCCUCCUCUUGUCCUACCUAUUUUGGGCUCAAAAUCCCUUUGUAUCGUCUCAAUUUUGACUUGAUGAGAGAAGGGGCUUACAUUCACUCAUUUGAUGAGGACUCUUACUCCUUGAAACAGAGGCAAGCCCAGAAUGGCAGUUGGCCGUAUAAAUAUGCCAAGUAUCAGCAUCAAUUAAGCACUAGAUCACCAUAUACUUGCUUUUCUAUUCCACAAGAUCAUCUAAUCUCUUUUUCCACUUCAUUUUUUCACUUGAUCUGUUAGUUGAUAAUCAUAAGGUUGACUGACAAUAAGUUACAGCUCUUUGGUUGGUUCGGAUGUUUCUGAGAUUAGUGUCGUUUCUUCAACCAGAACUGACAAAUAUCCACUGGUUUAUGUGUUGCACUACUGAAGUGGUUCUGUGACCACUUGAUGCAUUUUGCAGAAACCUGCAAAGCAUUUGAAUUGUAACUUUUAGGCAUUUUAGACUGUCAGAAAAGAUGAGUUAUCCUACCACUAUAUAAAAGUGGCCAUGUUUUCCAAGUUUUCAAUUCUCAUUAUAAGCCUAAUUAAAUAUCUCUUUUAGAAGUUUAUCAUGCUGAACUUCUACAAGAAGGAUCCUAAUGCUGAUGGACUCUAGAAAAGAGGCCAAGGGAAAAACUUUCCUCAACUUGGGAUUGCCAUGACUCUAUGCAUUAAAAGAGUCCCAUAUACUUCAAAAUUCAAUUUCAUAAUGAUUCAUUGGUCAUAGAAAAACUUAAGCCCAUGAACAUUAAGAAUAUAACAUAAAAAAUCCUUUACACAUUGAUCCUUUUUUCUUGCCAUCCCCAUGAGUAUCUCUCCAAAGCCCUCUCUCCUCUGGUUUCAAUGUCCAUAACAGCUUGGCAGAUAGUGCUUUGUUGGAGUCCACUUUUUGUCACUUUUGUUUUGCUGAUUAGCAAAAACAAGUUCUUUCCUGCCCUCCGACCAAAGACUUUGGUAUAUUAGCACAUAAUCCAUACUAACAUCUUUUUAAAAUUUGUCAUAUAUCUAAAUCUUUACUAGCAACCAUGUGCAUUUGCACGUGCAUUAUAACUAGCUUAUCAAAAGGCUGAACAUAAGUUUUGUCAUUUUGCAUUGGUAGGAUCUUAGUUAAUUGUCAUUGCUCCGCCUCCUUUCUCCCUUGCUCCAAACAUAGAAAUGAGCUCCAACUGUUAUGGGUAAACAUAUACUUGAGCAUCACAUACUGUUUAUUAUUAGAUUUGAGAUGCACAAUUUCAAUAAGUUGCAAUAUACCCUUUAACCAUCUUUUUAUUCUUCAAUAAAUAUAACAGAUCUUGAUACCUCAAAACACUAAUUCUCCAACAAAUAUACCCUUUCUCAAACCCAAAGGCUCUAAAACAUCUAGAAUCAUUACCAAGUGCUCUGUAAUUAAUUUGUGCUUCAAUAGAACCACAUAUAAACGUAAAUAACAGCAGAAAUAUUGUAUAUAAAAUGUACAACCUCAGAGUAUCUGGCUUGAGUAGUUUCAAUUUCAUAAAGGUUGAGGUUGGACAAUUUAUGCCUCUGGGAAUUCUUCAUAGUACAAUAUUUUGGGUCUGUUUGGUAUUCUUGUUCUUUUUUUGUUUUGGUUUCUCUACAAAAUAGUCAAAUAUCGCAUGGAGAUUGAUUUUGAAGGUAGCAUUUGAACAAAACUUCUGUUGUUCCUUGCUUUUAGUUUCAUUCUUUGUUUUAAAGCAAUAACUCUUUGCUACCAAAAGGUCCAAAGAGUUUACAAACAAUUCAAGAAAACAACAGGGUUUCAUCAUACAAGCUUUUCAGUCUAGUUCAUUUUCCUCUUCGGUUUUUGAAAACCGAAACAGAAAACAAAAGGAAUACCAAGCAGGCCCUUAGUUAUUUUUGGAAGAUUUUUUUCUGUUUUAUGAGUUCAUAGGCACAUCGUGUAGGGUUUAUACUGAUCAGUUUACAAGCUAGAAAAGAAAUGCACGAAUUCAACAAAGUACCACCAAUCAGCUGUGCAAAAUGAGAGUAUCCCUUUUCAGGAGAUAAUCAGUUUCAUUUAGCAUGCACCAGCAGCUGAUUGAUCCAUUCAAAUACCAAGAAAGAAAUGAAAAAGUGAUCAAAAGAUGCAACAGAAACAGUAAGGUAAUAUCUUUGUGAACUUAAAAGUUGCCUAUCAAUUAAACCCAUAGAUUGUAACCCCAGUAUAACAUGAAUUUUUUACAUAAACUUGGUUUUGCUUUGAUAAGCACUCGCUCAUGAAAAUAAAAUAAUGAUGAUGAUGUCCAAAUGAUAUAGGAUUGAUUACUCAAGCAUAUUACUGGGAUUUAAAAUGUUAGACUUCAAUUAAGAUGUGGAGAAAAAAAAAGAUCACCUUCACAAUGGCUAUAACCAUCACCCUUAAAACGAACACCAUCAACCACCGGACACUCGCAAACUCUGCCACGGAAUGUGUCCUGAAAGGCAAUCCGGCCAUUAGGACAGAGAAACAACCAGAAGCAUGGGAACUAUACACUUAAGCACUUGAAACCUUGCAGGCAGUGAAGUUGGAGGCUUUAUCUUGCCAGCAUCCACCAUUAUUGUCCAGGCAUUCAUUUGUUUGUAUAUCUGUAUUGAAAGCAUAUACAAAUAAGAAACCUAUGCUUCAAAUAUAAAAUUUUACAACGUUAAUGGAAAAACAUUUUUAAAAUAACUUGGCAGCUGUGGGAUCCUACCAUCACUUAAACAAACAGCUGGCUCAGUAGUUUCCUCAAAGCCAGCACAAGUAGCUUUCAAGACAGCUUUUUUCUCUAAUUUUCCUGCAAUUUUAUAUGUUAGCACCAGUAAUAGCCUAAAAAUUAGAUAAAUAAUGUAUCCAAGACCAACCUCGAUAUUGUCGAUUAUUAACAAUAAGAGUAGGCAAUAUGGUAACAUCUCCCCUCGAACCUUUUCCAACCUGUGCAAAUAAUUUUCAUUGUCUAACAUUUAGGUGGGGAAUUUAAUUAGCAAUACAAACUCAGAAUGAAUUAUAUAGGCAUCAAUUUCAGAGUAUGAAAUUCAUCAUAAGUUCAUAACAGAUUUGACAGAUCAAUCUACCAAAUACAUAAUGAAAUACUGACCUGGGCAUCUUGCUCCAUUUUCAAAAUUGGAUUCUCAGAAUCUGCAUUUGUAUCUCCCAUGCACUUUUCUAUCUUCUUGACAUCUAGCCCUGCUUAAAUGUAAGAAUAUUAUAAUUGUCCUACUAACCGAUAAAUUGAUGCUUUUAGAUAUUGUAAUGGAAAUUGCUACCCAAUUUACAUUCAUGGUGUCACACACCAUAGCAAACCUAGUGCUCUAACAUAUCAGACCAUCUUAGAUAUAUUUUCAUAUGCGAAGUAUGAAAGAGGAUUUUUUAGGCAUAAUAAUAGAACUGGAAUUAUAGCACCUCCCUAUCAUGUUAAGUCAGACCAAUUAAAUUAUAUUAGUCAACUUCGAAAAUAAACCAACCUAAUGACUUGAUAACAGCAUCAGCACACUCCUUGUUAUAUCUUUUCUCCUUCAUCGGGCACCUAAUGUGAAAAUCAGUCACAUAAUCCCACCAGAUCCAGGGUUUUUUACUUUCAUUUGCAACUUUGAACACACAGAGCUGUCUCAGGUUUUCAACAACCACAUCCUUUCCUUCAUAACCAGUGCUGAAAUCCUGCUCAGGAUCAGGUGCACAAUACCUCCCAUGAUUGAUGCACUGGGACUUGCACUGUUUACUAAAAAUGAAUGGCUGAGGACAAUACCAUGUUAUAUAAUGGGGUGUAAACUGACUGUAACCACCUUUCUCAAGUAGUUGAGCUGCACCCUUAAAUUCCUUUAUAAAAUCCAUCAGCAUGUUGCAUUUAGGCCCACACUCAUCAUUGCUAUUAGUCCAUAACUCAUACUCCACACGAUCAUCUGGAUGUGGAACAGCUUCUCUCCAGUCAAGGUUCACAUUGACCAUUUCACCACUACGAACAGCCUUCUUUAACUUUUCACCAAAAUUUUUAUCAAUGAGUGCAGAGGGAAUUGUUAUGUUCUGAAUAUAUUUUGCAGCUUCAUCAUCCUCUCGAGGCAGAUCCAUUGUAAUCAGUGGUUCAUCCUUGUCAUCGACAACAAGCACUGCCGAGGCACCAGCAUUCUGAGCAUUCCAAACCUUCUUAGCAAAAAGACAUUCUGUCAAAGAAUAGAGUAAUCAAUACAAAUAUAAUACACAGGAAACACCUUUGAAAAGAAAAAACUUGUUAGCAUUUAAACUUGGGUUAAAAUAUGUAAAGGUGAUAUGCAGCACAGGAUGAUGUCUACCAGCUUUGGGGGUUACUGAAUAUCAAUAUUACAUAGAGCCACAGCUUAAUUAUAUUGCAAAAUAUCAGUGUGCAUCGCCAAUAUCUAAUGGAAUAUGGAAUAUGGAAUACAUACCACAAGACAAUGCUAAGUUACUUAUGAAAGGAAAAGCUAAUUCUUUAAUCCCUUUUUUUGCUUGAAAUCCACAUAAACCUGUUUUUCCACACGACUGCAUUAAUUGGAAAUUUAUACUAAAUCUAGAAUCUAAGAUUUAUUUUUUAAAAUAUUUCUUUUAAAAAUGCUUAUGAAAUAUUAGUGCAUUAGAUGAUGAUAAACAUUAAAUUUAUAUGAGAAAAAUGAGUUCAUGGCAAUAAAAUAAUGACUUUUUUUAGAUAAAUUCAUGAUUAUAAAUAUAGACUAAUUUUUUGGAUGAUUUUCCAACUUUGACAACUUAACCUAGUCCUUCUUGAAGUGAAUUGCAACUCCAAGGCAUGUUAAAAAUGUUCUAAAAGACUUUUAACAAAGAAUUGGGGUGUUAAUAAUUUUGUCACAUGCAAUUAUUUGUUCAGAUGUUAUAGACUGACCUAAUCUUUUUAAUUGAAAAAAUUAAGUCGGUGUUACUAGAUAUCAAAAGGUAGUUCCACCGCCUUCAUGAUAAGAUGAAAAAUAACAGCAAAGGAAAAGGCAAAAGAACAUUAGGAAACUGCAAGCCUCUAGACCAAUAAGCUAAUAAAAGGAGUCUAACUGGUAACAACCAAACAAAAUAGUUGCUGUACCACCAUACGGAGAACAAAGAGAUAAUACACAUGUGACUCCUUCCAAAUUGGGAUAGUAGACACCAUUACAUCAUCAUCCAAGCCUUUCUCACCAUGAGGUCAAUUAUGGAGCACAUUAGCAGACCACCAAGUUAAGAAGGAUCCAUGUAAGGAUUAAGCAGAUUUUUACAACUAGUCAUGAUAUUUGAUCUUUCCAGACAACCAAGGAGCCGACCUCAAUUGUUAGAAAUCAAGCUCAUAAAACCAAGGAGCAACUUUUCAACACCAAAAACCAGUGGAGUUGGCCUAAUAUCCUGUCUCCACAUACAAGAAUUGUUCUUCCCUCACCAGUCUUCAUCAAAGAAAAUGCAGCAAUUUUUUCCCACCUCAUUUAUCCGACUAAGAUCUCUCUUGAGAAUAUCUACACAUUAUACUAUAAACGCCAUCGACCAAUCAUCUCAAGCCUUCGCCCAAGGAUUAGCAUAGUAGAUAAUAGCUUAGGGGCAAAUGAUGUCAAGGAGAACUAGACGCAUUAUCGGUCAAGCCAAAUUUACCCUAUCAUGCUUCCCCAUCUUGUGCUCAAUUCCACUUCUAGAUUUCUUUUCUCAUGACAUAUUUUAUAAAACCACUGAAUACCAAUCCAUUCAUAUGCUCCUAUAUACCAAUGUCUUACAAGCCUUUCUUCCCAAUAACAUAUUUCAACCACCAUUUGCAUAAUAUAUGGCGUUACCCGUUCCUUCCCAAUAUCUAAAAUUAUGAACGAUAAUCCUCACGAAGAUGCGGGCACUAUUUGGAUUUACAUGUAAGAUACUUGAAUGUCCUUGCAAUCAUAAAGCUCCUGUUACAAGAUUUUCUUUAACUCUUCCCCCCUCGAGCACAAUGAAAUUAAGUUAAUGAACAUUGUAGAGACCACAUUAAAGAAAAUGAAGAGGAAAUGGGAUCAUUUUGCAAAAGAAACCUGUGGAUGGGUCAUCAACAAGCUCACGGAAGGAAGAUGUCAUAACAAUUGUUCAUCAUCCACCUUAGUCAUCUCUGUCCAAAACUAUUUUUUUCAUGAAUCAAUCAUUCUCUAUGAGGGUCACUUCCGCAACAGAAACCAACCUUGCCUUUAUUGACUUGAGCAGUAAUGCAACCGUGAGUGGGUAGAAACUUGUUACCCAUGCACCUAACUUCAACAAAGGGAAAUUUCUUUCACAGACCCAAACUCCUUCUCAACCUCUUUAAAACACUUUGCUUAACUAAGGCCCUGUUUGGCAUCACUUCGCAUUUCUAAUUUUCAGUUUUUCAAGAAAAAGAAAGUGAGGCAAAAAUGAUGAUUAGUAACCCAAUUUCUAUUUUCAGUUUUUUGAAAACUCUUUCUCAGAUACUAGAAAUUGCAGAAACUAAAAUUCUAGUUUCAAAGCUUUUGAAAACUGAACCCACCCAUAACCACCAUUGCCUCCAUUAUCACCAACCUUGUCACCCCCCACUUGUCACCACCCCCACCAUCGAUUGACCAUUGGCCACUAACCAGUGGCUGUCACCAUUGUCUCCAACACCACCACCGCCAGCAAAUGCAAUUAGUGACUACCAAACAAGUUUUGGGUUUUCAGUUUUCAGAAAGAAAAAAAAACAAAGAUUUUUAGCUUGUAAGAAAUUGAAAUUGAAAUUGAUGCCAAACACCGCCUAACAUAUUGGUCGAUCAUCCUUCCUAUCCAUGACUUCUUCCUUUCAAGAGAAUAUUAAGCAGCACAAAAAUUCUUUUAAGGGAAAUUCUUUGUUAAAAGGUUAAGAAGAUUCAUCACUUUGCCUUUCAUAUUAUGUAGAGUUCUGGAUUAGGCAACAAGGGUAUAGCCAUUUAGGGACUUUCUUCUCCUAAAGUAUGGAACAUGCAUCUUUCAUCUAUUCUGCCGUAAAAUCCUCCCUCUCACUGUUGUCCCCUCAUCUCAAGAAUUAUAGCUUAACACCCCUUUCUCUAUAUCUAAGCAAAUAUAUUUCUGAAUACCAUGAUCCUUUUGUUCACCACUUUAACAUUCAAUUUCACUCUCUCUCACUAUAAGCUAAAUUAACUUUGAUUUAAGCCUCAAAGCAAUUUUUUUCCUCUUUAGGUCACUUUUACUCUCUUUUCAAAUCAAUAGUUCCUCCCUUUUGGGUCUGUUCAAAUCUAAUAUUUCCUGCAUCUCACCUUAAUGCCAAAAUUGCAAAUGUUCUGAAAAUUUAUACUUCAAAUUCCAUUGACAUCUUAAGCACAUCCAAUCCCCAAUUCCUUCAACUUGCUCUUCACAUAUCUAAGGUUUCUAAGCAAAACAUGAUUGAGUUUUCCAAUUUCUUGAUGCACACCCACUUCCCACUAACAAUUGAUAUCGGAAUUACAAACCACCUGUAAUAUUUUUUUUGGAAAAAAAAUGAAGCUUGGGCUCAACCCUUCCUAGAGGAGUAACAAAGUCAACUCAAGGCUAAGAUAGCAGUCAAGGUAAACCACUUUAGCAGGUCAACAGAAAAUCAGAAACCUAAUCAAUGGACAAUAAAACCUACUAAUCUUUCUCAAACAGGUUUUAUAUUACUGAUUCAUAUAACCUACUUGAGAUCACAGAAAAAUCCUCCUAAAACCCAGUAUUUAAAAAUAAAUAAAUAAAUAAUAUGAAUUAACACUCCAAGUUCCCCCUCCUCUCCCCAGAAUUCCGUGCUGCUUAAAGGAUCUAUUCAUCUCUCUGAUAAUCUUUGAACUUACAAGCUCUCACUUUCCUAUUGCUACUUUUAGCAAAAUUCCCAAAAAUAUCAAGAUGCCACCAAAGUUUUUUUUAGUUUAGGUACCUAUCCACAAGCACACAUAAUCCAUCUUGCAUGAUGCUAGUAAAUGGACCUUAUAGUGUCUCUAGAUAUCUCAUUCAUUUAACUUGAACCACCCAUUACUUAAUCUUCUUUUUUUGAUGAAUAAAUUGUUCGGCUUAGAUACAUAAAUAUAUCAAAAAAAUAUCCAUUCUUGAGUUGUCACAAGGGACAAUUUUCUCAAUCAUAUGGUUAGUAUAGUUACAUGCAUGGUUAUGCCUUUCAGUUCAAAUCACAUGACUAUUUAGAACAGUAUGAUAUGUAGGUUGUGAACUAACAAAUGCUGGCAUGACAUGUGAUUCAGUGCCUCUAAUGGAAACUCCUACAAAUAAAUGGAAGACAAAUGUAAUAUCUAUCCAGUACCCUUAUGUGUUAUUUGUUCACAAUAUUAAGUAACCUAAGCAUUUUAUGUUCAGGUACCACUCCACCCCCCACCCACAAUCUUUUGCAUCAAAAGAAAAAAAAAAAAAUCCUAUGUUGAUUGACAAGGUCUUUAGUCCACAAACAACCUAAUGCAACAGUAAAAAUCACUCCAUGCAACUUCCAUCUGUUGCAGGUCACUUCGCCAGCUAAAAGUUGAUUUGGAUACCAACUUCCUAAUAAACAAACUUCCAGGAAAAUUCAAUCAAAUCAAACAUCAAAAAGAGGGGGGCAAACUCAGCAUAUAUAAAUUAACCGCAGUUAUCAUGGAACAUCAAAUAAGUGUCACCCCAUCAUAUUACAGUUCAUGCACAUCUUUCCAAUCCAAAGUUUAUGCCUUUCAACCGCUAAAGAAAAGCCUGUGCUUUUAAAAGCAGCAAAUUGAAUGCCAACAGAAAUCUGUACAAGAUUCGCACUUCAACCGUUCCUUUUCGAGAACACUAGGGAAUCGGAAAGGCUUACCUCCACGAUCGAUAAGAAGAAAGUUGGGGAGCGCCCCCGGCUUGGGCUUGAACAAAUCCGAAGCCGAGAACUCCUUGCAGGCGUAGUUGUUGGUCUUGGGGUACACCACCGUGCCCGCCAUGCUCCCGCCGUACUGCGGGAUUCCGAAGUUGCCGAUGGCGCUGUCGUGCUUCCCCCGAAUCUCGGACGGCGAGGUCACCAUCAGGCUGUUCUUCUCUACCACGAACCUCCCCGCCGCCGGCAAGGCCAAAAACCCCAGCCCCAGCCCCCAAACCGCGAAGAGAAACCCUAGGAGGAGCCCGUCCGAUCGGCCCAUCUUCCCCGACCCAACCGAAGCCGGAGAGAAGUAGAGCGAUGGGAACAAGAUAAUUAAAAGAGAUUGGCGUGGAUCGAAAACAGAGGGUUUUGAUCGAAAACAGAGAGUUUUGGGAGCCCGAGGGGGGAGGCGUGGGAGGGAGGGAGGGAAGGAGCGACUAGCGAGGGAGAAAAGGCGUACUGGAGCUGGUUUCUUCUUUCUUCGUUACUUAAGUAGCACGGAGAUUUGGGUGGAUGUUUUCAUCGUAACCGUUUGUUGUUAUCACUUUUGGUCGUCGGAGUUGAAAACGGGUCUUGGGAGUUGAUCCUCGCGAGUUUAUGGGUUCGGUCUGGCCCACCGUCCGUGACUCACGUUUUGGGCAUGUUGAAGGUAAAAGGCCUGGAUUUUUUUUAUUUCAAAUAUUUUAUUUAUAGUUGUUUCUUAAAUUGUUUUGCAUGUAAAUCCCUGAAAUCUUGUUUAUUAAUAUAAAAUUUUCCUAGUUAUUAGUAAUAAUGGUGCUCUUUAGAAUUGGUGUCCUUGUUUAUUAAUAAAAAAUUACUCGUUAUGUUUGCUUGUCUCUAUCUGUGUCAUUAUGAAUGGCUCCCUGUUCCUAUCUCUUGCGUGUCCCGCGGAGAUCAAUUUCAUCUUUGAGGCCACCUUCGUUGCCUACCAAGAUUUUUGGCUGGCCAUAAAUAGUUUCGUUUUCGAGGGCACAGCGAGGUUCGUUUGGGGAGGGUCUUGAUAUAGGCUGUUGAGAUUAUCCAUAUCUCUACUGCUCGAGAUAUUUGGAGCUUCCUUUUUACUUCUACCGCAAUUCAAGUGAUGUUUUUUACCUAAGAGCCCACAUAUCCGAAUUUCUUCAAAGUUAAUUUCAAUGAUAGUAUAGUGGAUGGCAGGUGUAGGGGAGCAGGUUUUGUUAUUUGAGGCUUGGAUUCAAGCUUAGUGGAGACAGGCGGUAUGCUGAUAUUUUAGACCUCAUACCUGAGGCAGAGCUGAGAACAACUUGGGCUAAUAUCACCUUUACGAUAUGGGUUCUGACUUCUGAGAGCUGAUUGCAUUAUUGUCGAAGGUGGCUUGGCGAUGGUGGUUGGGUGAAUUCAAGGACAGGCAAGGUCUGCUGUUGCCCACCCACUUCUAUAUGACAUUCGGAAGAGUUCCAAGGAUUGUGCGUCCUUGAUGGCCAGACACAUUUACAUAGAAGCCAAUAGGGUGGCUGAUUGGAUUGCUUUCUAUGUAGGUCAGCACUCGAGCAAGAUCUUGUGGACUGGUUUGCCUUCCAUCCCACUUCGGCUUCGGGAUAUUUUGACUUUAUGAAAUAUAUUCAUACUAGAUAUGUAUGAUUCGUCCGUCCUACCAAAAAAAAAGUUCAAAUUUAUAAUUUUAAUUUAAAAAUAAAUUUUAUAGUGCAAUCUUCCAAAUAAAUGGGUGAUUUAAGAGAGCCCCUCUAUUUUAGAUAUCUAGUUUCCACUUGCUCUUGAAUAUUUGGAACAUUCAUCACAACUAGUUACAAUACAUAUGCUUAAUCUCGCAUAACAUAUUGUGUGCCCAUCUCCAUCAAAUUCAUGAUUUUAGUUUCAAAAAUAAAUUUGGUAGUGCAGUUUUCCAAGUAGGUGGGUAAUUUAACAAAGCCCCUCUAGAUAUCUAGUUUUUAAUUGCUUUUGAAUAUUUUGUUCAUUUAUUGCCGGUAUCUAGAAUGCCCAUGCUUGUGCACUAUGACUCGAAUGAAUAAGGUCUUGUUAUACUAUAAUGUUGAUCAAAGUGAGCCUCCAUAUAUAUGAAGAAAUCUCAACAACCUUUGAGAAAAUAAAGUGUAGUUCCAUACUUCAAAGAUCUUAUUACCAUACCUACAUAUCAGAACCAUGCAAAUUCCUCUAGAGUCACCCUUCUAUGAUAUUCCACAUGAUUGUUACUGCUGCCCUCAACCACUUUGGCUUGCAACUCUCAAAACUAUGGAACAAUCCAAAAAGGUCCUAAAAAGGAAGGACCACAAAAUUUUAAUAUUUUGUUAAUACUCCAAAACUAUAUAAUACUUCAAAAAAUUCUAAAAGAGUGACUCAGCUAUGGUCAUUAGCUGGAUCUCGAGGGGACCGAGGGUUGCUGCCGACGACCAUCCAUUGCUUUCAAACAUCUAGUUGAUGAUGAGGGAUGGAGGGGUUGCUCUGACUAAGCACGUGUUUAGAGAAGCGAAUGGAGCUGCGGACUGGGUGCUACUUACGUAGCCAACCACGCCGAUAGCACUGUGUGGGCGGAGGAUGGAGAGCUGCCUCGGGAGCUCCAUGAUAUUUUAUUUUUCAACUUUAUUGGGUAUAUUUGUACACGUGUUAUAUGAAUUAUCUGUUUUAGCAAAAAAAAAAAAAACCCUACAAACUCUAGUAUUUUCUCAAUAUUUUCUUACUAAUUUUUUUUUUGUCAAGAUUCCGUUUUCCUUGUUCAUAAUAGUCACUUGUAACUUGCUGCGCUUCAUUCUAAUCAGACAUGAAUAGUGAAAAGCUGACAAGACUAAUAAGUAUUGAAGAUCCAUCAAUAGCCAAAACAAAUGUAAUACUCAAACAUUUUUAACAUCAUGCUGAUUUUGUAGUAUAGAGAGACAAAAACAAAAACCUGUUAUACGAACCUCGUGAAUCAAUAAGUAUUUACAUAAUACAAUGAUGAGUAAAUAAUGCAUAUAUAUGGAUGAAGUGCUUUUCAAAUAAAACUAUAGAAUGAAAUAAUAUACAUUAGAAAACAUCAAUCAGAAAUAGCAAAAUCCAACCAUUUAAAGGACAAAUAUCUGAACAAGAACUCAAAAAUUUGAUGUCAAAAAAAACUAAAAAAGCUCAAAAACAGGCGUGAUUUAUCAGAGAAAUCGCUAUUCAAAAUACAAUUGCAUCCAUGUUAGCUCAAUGGAAUGCAUUUAUGUUUUGUACCUCAAAAAAAGUAAAACUUGUAUCUUUCAGAAGCAAUGGAAUAAAAAUUUUAAAAUUUUUUAGAUGGAAAUUGCUAGAAUCAUAGGAAUAUUGUACUAAUAAUUUAAAGGAAGUAUCUAAUACUCGAUUACAGUGAAAAUUUUGGUCUUUUGGAUAUAUUUCCCAAUCAAUCUUAUACAAUUCGAUGAAUGCAUAAUAAGAAUUUGAACACAGAAAAAGUAACAAAAUAGAAGAAUAAAAGUAGAAACUCCAAAUAAAUUAAAAAAAUUAAUCCACCAUAGAUUAGGUGAUGAAGGACGUUUAUCAUUAACAAGGCUCAAAAGUGAACUUAAAUUCUUUUGAAUAAUAAUCUUUGACCAAACUUACAAGAUUCAAGCAUUAUUAAUAAUACAUCCACAUUCUUCUCAAUAUAUCUAAGACUCCAAGCAUUGGUCCAUUGAGACAACAUUGUGUCCAUUUUUUGUUAAAUAAAUAGCUCCAAUAAUCAUAUAUCUCGAUAUCAUUUCAACAAAGUUAAAUAAGAUAUUGAUGCCAUUAAGUUUGUGCACGUAUAGUUAACCAUCAAUUUUCACAUUAUGUUGUCCCAUGAAAUGCAACAAAUAGAUUGGAGGCAUCUCAAAAGAUACUACAAAUAGAUGAUUAAAUCUUCUAAUAAUAUUAGUAAUAAUUAAUAUGCCUUAUUAUAGAGAGUAAUAUUUUGAUCCUGGAAGCAGAAAAGAAAUAGCGGAGUGUCUUGAUUAUCCUCUUGAUACUGUACACUCCACAACACGUUAAAAAGUCCAAAGAUCAAACUUUUAAAAUUAAUCAAAAAUGGAGAGCCAGCAUAGGAGCUUUAUAAAUCUUAUUCAAUUAUAGAGAAACAAGGGAACUGGACUAGUUGGACCUUGGAAGCUCCUUACAAUUCUCAUAAUCAUGAAUGAAAUGAAAAGAGGAAACGAUCAGGAGACAAUAGGAGUUGGAGAGAGGAGAGGAGUUUAUGAGGCUUGAUUUAUUAGAUUAGCAAGAGUAUGUGAGAUGGGGGAAGUUUGAGUGUCUAAAAACUCUACGAAAUGAGAGGAGUUUGAGUCUUCAAGAGAUUAGAAGAAUGAUGUUUGAAUAGAGAGAUUGUGGCUGUUUUAACUAAGAGGAUAUUGGUAUUCUAGAUAAUAAAGCUUGGUAGGGGCAUUCUAGGAACAGUAAAGAGUUUCAAACAUUAUAAGCAUAAUAUGAGAUAGGGCCAUUUUGAGAGCAAUGAAAGUUUUCGCAUUGUUAUUCCUACACUUAUAAUUUUUACGAUGAUGAUUAACAUACAUGAUUACAAAGAGUAGUCUUUCGAUCCUAUUAGCAUAGAGAAUGAGUGCAGUUUCUUGAAUCAACCUCUUAAUUCUAUGCACCCCACAACACAUUAAAAAGCUUGAAAUUAAGAUCAAAUUUUUAUGAUUAGAAGCAGAAACUAAGCAUAAGAACCUUAUGAAUCUUAUUCAAUUAUGAAGAAGCAAAGGAACUGGACCUAUCAGAACUUGGAAGCUCUUCUCGGUCCCCCUUAAUAAUGGAGGGAAUGAAAAGAGAAAAAGUUGGGGAGAUGGGAGGAGGUGGAGAGAGGAGAGGAGUUUGCGAGGCUUGAUUAACUUAGCAAAUGUCGGUGAGAGACGGAAGUUCUUAUGGGACCAUACAGUGUUUUAGAAAUUUUUUUUAAUAAAAAAAUAUAAUUUUGACCGUAGAACUGGAAAAUGAAUUGUUUGCCUAGUCCGAAGUCCCAAAUGGAAACAAGUUUGGUUGACUGACUUAAAGUGAAAGCCAGUCUGAUGGUCGCAACCCAAUGUUCGAAGUUCAAAGCUAUCAUGCCAAAUUGAAUUGCUACCCAUCAGGUCUAGCAAAAGUUAACUUGAAAUUUAAUAGUCAAAAGUUUGAUGGAAUUGUUGUGGGUGCUUGAGGGAAAGCGUUUGAGGAGUCUGUUGAUGAGGAGUUGAAUUUGAGAAAGAAAAAUUAUUUGCUCUACCAAAUUGCAUUAUGAAGAAGCAUAUUUUUUUUUAGAGCCGGACUCAGGUUGGGUACAAAUCGGAUACUAGCAAUAUAUAUAUCUAUAUUUAUUUUAUUUGACGAAUACAUAUACGGAUAUGAAUGUUAGUCGGAUGUAAAAAAUCUAUUUUCGCAUUUAUUUUGAACGAAUAUAAGUUAGAUAUCAAAAGUAUAGAUAUAAAUACGAAUAUAAAUUAAAUAAUUAAAUUUUAUAAUUAUAUAAUCAAAGGUAUUACUAAAAUAGAUGAUAAACCAAAUUAAUAUCAUAUUAAUGUGAUCAUUUAUUUAUCUUAAAGAUUAUGGGUGCUAUAAAAUUAGAUAGAAUUAUAAAUAAAAUUAGAUAUAGUUGUCUAUCUAUAUUUAUAUUAAUUUUUUAAUAAAUAUAAGUAUAAAUAUAGAUAAAGGUAUUAGUCCGUUGCUCAAAAUUUUAUUUAUAUUUAAUUGAUUUGGAUACAUUUGGGAAUGGGAUAAAGGGGUUUAUCCUCUCUCUAUCCCGGACCUCCCGGUUGACUUGCCAAACCGUGAGGUGAGACUUGCUGGCCCACGGCCGGUUCACCUGCCACCGCUUAUUAGAGAUUGGGAAGGAAGAACGCUGGCUCUCGUCUUCACUUCCUCCUCUUCGAGAAGAACCCGUCCUCCUCUUCUUCUCCGAUCGUAGCCGGUAGCCGCCCCUUUCCUCCUCCUCCUCUUCUUUUUUUCUUCCAUCACAGCCGUGGCAGCCACCCCUCUCCUCCUCUUCUUCUUCUCCCGUUCGGAUCCUCUCCCUUAUCCAACCCUAACUCCAACGGAUCUGUUGCCGCCGUGAUGCCGUCAACCGCAUCAUCGCCACUCUUCUAGGGGGCGACGAUCUCCUUCAAGACCUUGUUCCAUGGCGGUUCCUGUAGUUGUUCCCAUCGAUGGCGAAGUGGAAUCAUCGUGGUAAUCUCUAAGAUUAGGUCCCCACGGUAGAUCUUAUCCUCAUUCUUUGGGAUUUCUCCUCGUUUUCUUCGUCGUCUUCUUCUUCUUCUCUGUUUCUGGGUUUGGCGGUUGUUUGCCUUUUUCUUGGUUGCAUCUUCAUCUGAGUGCUCUCCUCGGGAACGCCGGGUUGCUUCCUUGGAUUGGACUUGCUAUCAGAGGAAUCAGGAGCUUUUGCAUUAUUUGCUGUUAUUCGCAGAGGUUACAGUAGGUAAUAGCUCAAUUGCUUGUCUUUAUGUGGCCUAGCGUAGAACUGUUAUGCAUCUGUAUGUUUGAUGAACACCUGAAUAGAAUAUUAGGAAGAAAAAAUGUUCCUUUUUCUCUGUUGGAGAAUGAUUUCAUGUCUUUUGUAUUCUUGUCACAUUUUGAUUUCUAAAAUUGGAGGUCUUGCAUGUUAAAGAUCAGGCAAUGUUUUAGGACAUGCUCUAAUUAAUUCCAAUGCUAGUGGUUUGCAUCAGAGCAAUGAUAACCUGACCCAAUCGGUCCAGAAAAUAUAAGUCCAAUCUCUAGUUCAAUGAGUUGGUUGUGAACUUGACAUGGCUGCCACCAUUCACAUGAAAUAUACAAAAUCGAAAACUAGGACUGGAGAGGGAGGUCUGCAGCCAUCCUAUGUUAGAAGCCACUUACAACCCACAUGGAAAACAGGCAUCAACCUAGAAUUUUGCAUGUUGUCUCAAUCUAGAACAAGGAAUGAAGAGAGAUACCAUGUUCAUGAAUCAUGCUAAGCAAGCCAUCUAUCUAUACAUUCAGCUACUAAAGAAGCCUCCAUUUAGUUCAACAAAUAAAUACAGAUCCCAAGAACCCAAAAUCGUCCAUUGAUUAACUAUAUUCAUUCAUUGGAAACCACAUUGCCGCAACAUUUGGCAUAUGGCUUCCUAAUACGCGAAACUAAAUCAAAGUCCAAAAAAUAGGUAUUAACUUAUUAGAUUAUGUAAAUUUGUCAAAGAUGUAAGUAUACCUGGUGCAAGAUUUUGUCAUAGGAUCCAAUGACAAGUUGUUGGAGCACAAGAUAAUUCAUUCUGAUAUGGAAGAAUUUUAGAAAAUACUUAUGAACAUCCUAAAUGCAUGAUUGAACUAUAUCUACUUGCAGGCAAUCUAUGACCAAUCAUCCUAUAAAAACUAGUAUGCAUAAUUAAAGCUUCAUAUUAGAGAGCAAAAACAAGAGGACAACCUUGAAAUCUCGGCUAAAUAUUCUCUUUGAUGGGCACCGAGGAGUUUGUACAAAAGCUGAGAAACUCAAAACUUUGUGAGAAUGGAACUUCCACGCCUAUAGAUAUGUAUUUCUUGGCUGUGGAGGAGAGGAGGGGCACUCUUAUUUGCUAAUGAAGGAGAGGCAGUUCCCAUCCACCAUUGGAGGAAGAAGCGGGUUGAUCUCUAGAAAGAGUAGUGAUCGACUCCGUUAUACUAGGGAGGUUGCGUGAGCCUCGUGCUCAGUUUGAGUGAUAGGGCCUCCAUCUUUUCCCUUGCCCCCUUUGGCUUUUUCUUAUGACCCCAUGCCAUUGGCAAACACAUUUCAGGUACCACUCUUUUCUAAGAUGCAUUACCGAGCAAGUUCCCUAGCCUCCCUCCCACUCUAUGUUCUUUUUCUUGUUUGGUCAAGGGUUGGUGGAGGUUUUGAAGACUGAAGAAGAAAGAGAUUUAGUGAAGGCUUUUGGAGUAGGGUAGUCGGUCUUCAUUCUUAUUUCUUUAUCUAUUGAUUUUGGACGUGGUCAUGGAAAUAUUAGAAGUCUAAUGAUGAAGGAUCAUACUUGGAAUAUGACAUUCAACUUCCAUAUUCAUGUGUAACCGCAAUUGUGCUUUAGGCUAUCAUACCCAAUGAGGAACAAAUACAUAUUUUUUCCUUGAAACCUCUCAAUCUUCCUAGAGCCUAGGUUAUAAUGUCCAUGUCUGUAGUGGACAAAAUGGGAACCUUGGUGAUGAUGAGUGCUAGCUUCUUGGAAAAGAGGGUGUAGUUUCACUUCCCAGUCUUUACCUCUCUAAGCAAUCACCAACUAUAAUCUUCAAGGAGUCCCUCCAAGGAUAACAUUUGAGACAUAUCUAGCUUCAGUAACUUGCAAAAGUCAAGGGUCAUAAUGGAUUGGCACCUCUGAUUCUGUGCUCUCAAUUGAUUUACGUGUUCUUUGGCCAUGGUUCCUUGGUAGAUAUAGCGUGUUUAGCUACAAGUUCUUGGGCACGAUAGCUUAACUAACAUUUGCAAUCCCUCACUCUUUCCAUGCAUGCAUGCCUUGCUCAUUAUAGUUCAAUGUUGAUGUUCUUAGUAUUUCUAAUUAAUGUUCAACUAGUUACCAGCUACAGUUGAGGGCAUUUGUCUAUAGGACCAUCGAUUAUGAUGAAUAUAUGACCCAUGGUGCUAGUGCUGUUCCUUCAACUACCAUGAUAAAAUUAAUAUCACUAAAACUUAAGGUUGACAUGACUUUAAAAUGAAGAUGAUAAGUUAUGUCCAUAUCUGAAGGGAUUCUUGGACCAUAUAAAGGAUCAUUAUAAGAAUAAAAAUAUGCCAUUGUGCAUUUGUACUCAAAAGCAAGUUAUUCACAACAGAAGCAGCUAUUAAAGGCAUAAGCCCCAGAAGUUGAGAAAAAAAUUAUGAAACUUACUGAGCAGACCAGUACACAUUUUUCAUGAACCUAAGUUUCAAGACUUGAACAGUUACUUGGGCACUAAAUUGGAGUCAAGUAAAUGGAUCGGGUACUAGUUCAGCUGGUACGAGUCAAUCUGUUACCUGAUCCAAAUUACUUUAACUUCUUUCACUUUUUUCUUUCUUCCAUUCCUCCAAAUCCACCUUUCUCUCUAACCCUAAGCAAGUAUGCUCUAGCGAUGGUUGCGGUUGUUGGUCGAAGAUUGACAAAUGGUGAGCAGCAGUCAGUGAAUGGCAAUGGGUGUUGACACUUAGAGCUAAGUUGUUUAUGUUUUUUUUAAAAAAAGAUUUUCUUCUUCUCUAGCUCUCUUUUCCUUUUUUGGGGGUUUUUAAGAUGGUAUUGGAGGAACUAGGGCUGUUGCCAGUUGCUGCUGUGGUAGUGUCACCAGCAGAAGUUGUUGCUGCUGCUGGUGGUGGUGGUGCUGCUGUGAUAGUGGUGGUGCUUCCUCUGCAAUGAUGAGGGUGCUGCCGGCUCUGCUGUGGUGGUCUGAAAUCAUUACUUUCGAUUCAUCUAACACUUAAAAUUUUUAGUUUCGUUCAUUUUAGUGGGCUAGAAAGUAUUCAACAAGAUUAGAACUUUGAGCUCUAGCUUGAUGGUUAGAAUUAGUUUAUUUUGGUUAUCAUGUAAAACUUUAUUCAGACAACUAAUCUUUUUCUCUGAUCAAAACAAGGAUCAGGAAGUUAAAUAAGGAUAAGGCUGAGUUUUGGUUUUGGUGGAAUCUUAGUUACCUGAAGUAGAGGAGCAGAUGUGAGUAUGCAGAUCUCUUAAAAGAAUUUCAAAUAACUAAGGAAGUUGUGUAGGAACGAGUUUUUGAAGAGAUCUUUGAGUGAAGCUUUCUACUACUAAGGGUGGAAUCGUUAGUUAUUCCUUAUUCUUCCCUUUUUUUUUCUUCCUUUUUGCUAGUCAUAUUUGACAUUAUCACAGUUAAAAAUGGUAACCAGAUGUUUGGCUAUGGCUAUUGAAAUUUCAUUGUUCUUGCCUCGAAUAUGCAAUCUCUGCCAUGAAUUUUCUGACUAACUGUUACUCAUACCUCUGAAACCUUAUAUUACAGGAUCAUUUUUCUGUCUGAAAAUGGAUGCAAGACACUCAACUGAAAUGUUCAAGUAAAUUUUUCGCAUGCAACUCUUCUUUGAACAUUUGUAGUACCAUUAUAUAUGUUUAUGUCAUCCUUUGAUAUGCAGACAUCUGGAGAAGCAAAGUGAAGUCCUUAUGGAAGCUUAUCGUGCAAUGUCCCAUGAGCUACAUAGACUUCAGGUUGAUUUAUCUGUUCUAGAAGUUCUUCUGUUAGGUUCUAUAUACUAGCUAUAUAUGAGUUAUUUGAUGGUUACUUUUUCAUUAUCUUGCUGAUUUUAUGCCUAUCGAUGUGAAGGUUGAAGAAGAAAUGCUUAUGCACAAACUGUACGAAGUCAUGUCUGCUGAAGGCUUAAUUAAAAAGGUACAUUCUGUUACCAUUUUGUUGAGAAAUCUGGACUAGGAUGAUUGCUGUUGUAGUAUAUUUGCCAUUCUAUUUUGCUGUUGGCAGUUAUACACUUGAGUGGAAUCUAUGUGCUAUAAACAUGGCUGAACAUUUUUGUUUUGUUUCUUAUAGUAAUAAAAUUUUUAUUAUUGUUAUCUCUAAAAACAUGUCAGCAAUCAAAGCUUACUGACAUGAAGUGGGGGACACUCUCAAAUUUUAGCACUUAGCUGACUUAAUGACAGCUGAAACUCCUGUUGACCCAUCAAAAUAUUAACUCUUUUCGGACAAAGUUCAAGUCAUCUAAAACAUUAGACCUAGUGUGAGGUCACAAUUUAAUUUUUGAGAAAAAUAUGAAUAUCAAACUAGAUUGUUCAGAUGGAUGAAUAAACUCUUAUAAUGUCAGAACAGGACCAAGUGCUUUUCUAAAUAUAUGAGAAACAAUACAAGGAUCAAUAGAUACCUUUGGUGCUUUAAACAUUUAGUAGUUUGUAUUGUACUAUUGGUAAAAGAUGCAUUUAUAAGUCUGGCGGGGCUUGCUGAGGCUGGCUAUAUGUGCUUGUAAUUUGCUUUAGUCAGUUCUAAGUUCUAUUCAUAUAACUCUGCUAUCUUAAGCAUACUAAAUCCUUUUUGCAGAUGUACAGCACUGCUGAUGUAACUUUUCAUAGCUUUUAACUUAAAUAUGUCAUGAUGGUUGGAAAUCAGUUUUCUAGUUUCUUAACUUAUAUUUUAAGCACCUCUCCUUAGUGGGUGCCUCUUCAUUAUUAUUGUGGUAUUGUUGUAGUUGCCAUUGACUUCAUUAUUAUUGUGGUAUUGUUGUAGUCGCCAUUGAAGCAAAGAAUGUUCAUAUAGGAUGCUCAUCAACAGCUUGGCCUAGACCAGAGUGGUCUUAGGCUUGGACUGGGUUGCUUUGCUUGGUUGUUGCUAUGCCUCUAAAAUAUGCCCAUUUUUACAUUUAGGGGUUAUGCAUGCGGCUGGUGUUCUGCAUAUUUAAUAUCUUUCUGACUAUCUAUUCACAUGCACGGUUAUAUCAUUUUUCUUUCAAGAAGAUUUUGCAGAUGUCUAUAGUUCUCUCAACCAUGUUACAUUUUUGUGUCCUUUUUGAAUUUCUAUUUUUUUCCAGUAGAGAUAUAUCCAGAAACCGGGUUUGUGAUACAUAGUUUCAUGUGGCUAAGACCAUGAGGGUCAGUUUUCUAUGCAUUUUUCUUUGAAACAAAUAAACAUUGCAUAGAAUUAGUGGGGACUUUAAAAGAAAAACAAUAUAUGAUCAAUUCAAGUAAUAAUCUGGUAAAAAUGUCAUAUUGUUGUAGCCCAACACGAUCAUCCUAUCAUGAAAAGCACCUUUUCGUUCCAUUAGAUCCUCUGGACUAGCCUCUUCAAACCACCAUAUAUCACCAAUUGGUUGGACAAAUCAGUUGCGAUCACCUCUUCAGAUGAUAUAGCCUACUGAUGAGCAUGCAUACGUGGAUAUAGGAUCACCAUUGUCUGGAACGAUCUGGAUGUCUUUGAAGACAGGGUUAUAUGUCUAAACAAUUAUUUGCAUGCCACUCUGAUUGAUUCCACAAAACAGUUUUGGUAUCUUAGAUGGAAUUGGAAGGUAGAAAGCAUUCUAUAAUAAUUUUGAUAUAAGCAUCUUGUUUGUUAUUUUUGUCUAGUUGUUCGUUUUUUCAUCAAUUAGUUCAGUUGCCCCCAUUCUCUUUUGCAGGGGAAUAAAGGAGAAAAUAAUACAAAAAAAGGGUGAGAGUAUAUCACCCACAGGCACCUUGAUAAACCGGAAAAUCACACUGGUGCUGUCUCAUUCCUCAGGCUUGCCUUUCAUAAGGUGCAACCGUUGAAAUCAAGCUGCUGUCGCUCCCCAUUGCUUAGCUUUUGCACUCUCGAGGAAUCAGUUGUCAUGAUCAUCAAGUUGCCUAACCUGUGUGUCCCCAAAAGUCCUUUCUUAUAUAUUUCUUAUUUUCUCUGAGGAACAAAGGGAGUGCAAGAAAAGGAGGAAAACUUUAUCAAUUGAUAUGAAUGAUAAAAUUCUUUAAGCCAAUGAUUACAACUUUACAACCAUCCUCUGUAUGAGAUUGUGCUUUCCAGGUGAAGGAAUGCAGUGGAUCUGCCAAAAGUUUGUGGGCAUUUACCACUCAUAUAAUAGGAAAAACAAAAACAUAACCAGUUUGUAAUUUUGGAUUUCUGUGCUUCUAUACUUGCAGGGCGCAUAACUACUAUGAACUUUUCUUUCAUAUUUCUCACCAGAUGUGCAUGUAAUUUAACCUGUUGCACUCAUAAGACAGCUAGUCAUGGAAUUCUUGGCAUUUAAGAGUAAUAUAGUUGGUUAUGUACUACCGAGGGAUUUAUCAGGUCGCUUGUCUCCCUCCGUUUGGGGGUCUUUGCUUUCUAUCUUGUUGAGAUGCCUCAGGACCCUGACAUUUAGAGAUGUUGUACUCUGCUGGCAAGACAAUGUAUUGUUGGCAGCACUGCCAAUGAAAAGGUUACUCUCCUUCAUAUAAAACCCAUCAUGUACUUACAGGAUUUCAAGAGAUGUGUCAGGAGUAUUGCUGCACAUCAAUGCAAAAGAUCCUGUACAUCAUCCAAAGCUUUAAUGGUGCAUGUACAUGCAUGCUUAGUGUUUGGGAGCCAUUAAGCGUGGUGAAAAGAUCCAAAAUUCAGAAGAAUUGAAAGAACUCACAGAAGUUCGGAAAAGUAAAAUCAGAGAGCUCAGCUUAGGAAAAAAGAAACCAGGCAAAUAAGAUAAUUCAAUUGAUGAUUAUAAUUUUUAUAUAUGUAAAAUUAUAUGUAAAUUAGAUGAGAAAGACAAACCAUCAUCACCAGCAAAACAUCAUCCAUUUGUAAAUGUUAUAGAUGUCAUGAGUAACUAUGUUAAUGGAUAUACAAUCCUUUCCCAAGCAUUUGGUCAUUCUUGCAGCCUUUCCACUCUGAAUUUUGGGUUUCAUCAGCCAAAUGCAUCAAUUCAUGCACUUAACAGCUAGAACACCUCCCUGGCAACACCCCUUAGCUUAAGAGAGACAGGAGGUAGCAGCAUCAGCAGCAGCAAGAAAAACCAGUAACAUUGCAGCUUCCCACAAUUCCAGGCUCUAUAGGUUGAAAUUUGAAAUCUCCCUGAAGAACGCUUGCAUCUCUAAAUUAACCAGGAAACUACAAAUCAAGUCCACUUGAUGCAAAUUCAAUUUGUAAAAUUUCCAGUCCUCAUCUCUGUAAACCCCCUAGUGGUUUAGCUCACAUGCUUUCUUAUCUUUUAUGAGGGCACAUACACUUCGUUAUCCAUUUCACACCCUUCAGCUUUACUCUUUCAAUGGUGCUUAGCAUUAGACAUACUAAAUUGAACACAUUGAAAUUUACCAGCUCCAAAUACGUACCAUACAAUUAAGAUAGGCAGCAUGGUUGACCAUCAAAAUCUGAGAAAUUUGAGUUCAAAAACACAGAUCUGUACAAUUAUAGUGCUACUAGUGCUUCAGACUUCAUAAAAUCCAAGCAUCAAGUUGAAUGCUUCAUUUGAAGGCCAAGUCAGCAGCCAUCUUCUAAUAUUUUCAGUCUCCAUUUAGCACUUUUGGUCAUACCCUCUGGAACUGCCACUCUCACAAGCAAGAACAUAGGACAGCAGUUUUAAACCCUUUGGAACUAUUUCUGAACCCAAUGAAGCAAAGAAUAAAACUUAGCACUAGCAAGUUGGUCUGUUCACAUUGACUGCAUGCUAAUAAUUAACCAGCCCUAUCACAUAAAUAGGCAGAACCAUCUGAAUACAAAUCAAGGUGGAUUAUAUAGAAAAGAAGGCAGUUAUCAACUUUCUGGCUGUUCAGGAAUUCUCCUGUGAGCGAUUGCAUAUGAGAAAUCUGAGUGAAUACCAUUCAGAAGCAGCACAUCACCACUCUCACUGUCACAGUGUUACAGCUUUCAUGUGUAUCUGCUCCAAGGAUUCCAGCCAAGUCUGUAAAGAACAGCCAUUUAUCUUCUGCAAUGUUUUAAAUACCAUGGGACAGGGCCAUCCGGAAUGGGAGGCCCCGCAUCCUAACACUUAGGACAGUGGAAAUCCAGUUCCGUCCCGGCCUGUUUCCAAACUCAUCCCGCCCUGACACAUAGAAUGGUGCCCCUAACACUCGGGACUGUGCGAUGUACCCCCAUCCUACCGAUAUUUAAAAUCUUGAUCGUUCGCAAUUCAGUUUCCCUCGGAAGAGCCAUAGCCUUUGAGAAAGAAUCAUUUCUCACAUUUUUUUUUUAAAUUUUAUUUUUAAAAAGAGGAACAUCACAUGUCAAUCAAGUCAGCCUAUUUUAACUUUGUUGCAUAUAUAUUCAUCAGUCGCCUUAACAUUUUCUCCCGAAAAAACAGAACUGUAUCUAUGAGAGCAUAACAAUGAGAAAUUUUAUAGAUUCACAUUUAGAAAUAUCAUGUCUGAAAAAUCAUCCAGAUGACGUGUGUCUGAUGGGUAUCUGAGAUUAUAACUCAUUACAUAGCAUCCCUUAUUUGGAAAAACUGGCCCAUUAGCAAGCAUCAAAGGAAAGAUGAAAUCAAAUACAGAGAAGAAGAUACACCUUCUAUGCCUUCUUAAGAGUUAUUGAAGGCCAUAUUCUAUCUUUAUAGGAGGGCUUCUUCGUGUGAAGCUCCUAACUGCAGCAUCAAGUGUUUAAAGAACAACAUCUAUGGGAUAGAUUCCUCGACCAGCACAAAUCUUACUUUUUACAUUGUCUGCAUGUAGGAGGUCAUAUGUUUAAAAUUAAAUCAUGAACCAAUCGUAUAGUUUUAUAGUUUCUUAUCAAUGCUUAAAUGGGACAUGGGCAAGCAGGGGUGGCUGGCACUCAGUUCAGCCUAAUCUUGAACUAAAGUUCUACAUGGCCCAAGUUGGAUCUAUUGUAGACCUAAACCUUGAAACUGUGAACCUGGCCCAACUUUAAGUGGAUCCAUAAAAUCAGAUUGAGGCUACCUAGCCAACCCAGCCAACUGACCUCUUUUAUUUACAAUAAAGCAGAGUGGUCUCGAGGAGUUAAUAUGGAAGCACUACUUGUUUAAAGCUGGCCAUGGGUCCACAAAUUUGAACCAAUGUUUUCACCUCUUCUCUUCUUAUCAUCAUAUCAUUAUAUUCAUUAUACUAGCAUUCUUGCUCUUAAGAUUUCUGCAUUUCAAGACAUGACCAAUUUCUUCUCCUUGCAAUCUUGUUCGCCUGAUCUAAUUCCAUCCUACAUGGAUUCCCUUGCUCCUCACAAGUAGUAAUUUGUUACUUUUAGAACACCUUGGGAUGAUCAUCAAAGAAACAAACACUUCUUUUUUUUAGUGUCCUCAUAGACAAACAACUGCUCCACAAACGAGUAAGACUAUCAAUGUUUUUCUUAGUUGCAUAUAUCAUCCUAUGAAUUAAUACCUACUAUGAUAUUAUGUACCAUACCAAUUAUCUGUACAUAUCGAUUAGCACAUAAGAUUAUGCACAUAAAAGAGUACCAUGAGUGCUCACUAACGUAUGAACCUUUUACUCUGAAUUAAAGUAUUUUGAGUUGUUUUAUGACGAUGAUCUAGCUUGUUUUGAAUCUCUAACGUAUAUGUUUUAGCAAGUCAUGUCCACCGGAUAAUCUUGGAUAUGCAUUAUGUAUCUAGCCCAAAUUGCCAAAACAAAUAUUACAACAUGUUUAUUAUUUUAAACAACAAAAUAGCAUGGGAAGGCAAAAUAUAAAGGUAUUUUCAUAAGUUUUGGGUCCAAUAUGCAUUCAGCUAUCAACAUCACAAUUAAUUACUCUAUGUUCUUAGCAUAUUUCUUGACACACUAGUAGGAUAAAAUACACAAAGAUACUUGAAGGCAUGCCGACCUAUAUUUAAUAUUGUAAGUCUUUUCAAAAAUUAAGGCAAUAGACUGUAUUAAGGCAACUCCCAUGGAACCAGUAGUCCAUGGCAAUAUCAAGUUUAUGAAUAAAGAAUGACAAACAUAUGAAUCAAUAAUGAUAAUGUGAACACUGAAUGUAAAUAAGUUACUAUGACUCACAGGAGAUAUCACUGUCAUUGAACUAUCUCCAAACAGCCUCCAAACAUUUGGUAAGACUAAUCUCUUCUGUCCUAAUCUAGGUCUCAGCAAUUGAUGAACCUGCAUUAAACUUCCAGUGUCAGCAUAACAAUAGGCAAGUCUGAAAGGUUCAGGUGUCUGAUAAUUAUUAUUUAAUCAACUGUCAUAUCCUAAAGUCCUACUUACUGAUGCAGCAACAGAGGGAUUGUCAGAUCUGUAGAAGGCCAAACUGGUAAGUUUAAAAUCUAAGCUGAUCCUUAGUUGGGAGCUUCUUCACAGUUGGAAUGCAUUCAAAAAUUAUUCCAACAGUUUGAGAGAUGGCAUGAAUAUGAGUGUUAUAUAUGAAGCUCGCCAUCUCAAGCACAUGCCACUCGUAUAAAUUAAACUGUUUUUUACCAAUAAUUCCCGCAUGAACACUCUCCAUUCUUAAAAUGGUGAAACCGCUUAACAUCUCUGACAACGAUCUCUCGACCAACUGCCUUUGACAUGAACAUGAUUGCAGUGUGGCAAUCCCCACAAAUUCUCAAGUUCUUAAGAACAAUAACUGUAGCCCCAGCAGGCAAUUUUAGAAGCCCAUAUCCGACAGCCAACUUCUCGCUGUGAGUAGAUAAUGCAUAUUCCUUUUUCUCAGACUCAACAUCAUGCAGAACAAACUUGGUAUCAGGGACAUAUCCCAGCUUCCUCAUCUUGACUCCAAGUAUCUCAAGGAAUUUGUAUACUUCCUGCACCUCAGGGUGUCUUGCAUCAUUGACAAGGAACACAUGAACCUUAUUUGCAACUUCAAUCCAGCUGCAUCCGGGUUCCUUCUUAACCCCACGAUCUUUCAUCAAUUUCCUAACCCUUGCAACAUUUUCCCAUCGCCCGAUGGCAGCAUAGAUGUUGGAUAAAAGGACAUAUGUUCCAUCAUGUCGAGGUAUCAUCUUAAAGAGCUGCUCUGCUGCAUGGAUUCCAAGAUCCAUGUCCCCAUGAAUUCUACAGCCUGAUAGAACAGCCUCCCAAAUGGAUGGACCUGGCUCAAAGGGCAUUGAUUUAAUCAUAUCCCAAGCUUCUCGAAUACGUCCAGCCCGACCUAGUAAAUCAAUCAACUGAGCAUAAUGAUCUUCCCCUGGGCUAAUACCAUAAUCAUUUUUCAUGGAUUCAAAGUACCGAAAGCCUUCAUCUACCAAGCCUGCAUGGUUGCAGGCGGAUAGGAUCGUGAGGAAAGUGAUGUGAUCUGGAAAUAUACCGCCCCCAAUCAUCUGGUCGAAUAGCUCAAUUGCCUCUCUCCCAUGUCCGUGAUGCCCAAGGGCUGCAAUCAUUGCAUUCCAAGAUAUAGAGUCCACAUUGGGCAUCACAAGGAACACGAUGUGUGCUUCCUCCACAGCCCCACAUUUUGCAUACAUUGUCAAAAGAGCAUUUCCAGCUGAGUUGCUUGAUUCAUAGCCAAACUGGAUGAGCUGUGCAUGGAGUUGCUGUCCAUGCUUCAACGCUCCGAGCUCACCACAUGCAGCAAUUGUGCUUGCAUAUGUAUAGUCGCAAGGCUUGGCACCCUCAGCCCUCAUUCGACUGAAUAGCUUCAGCCCUUCCUCGGCAAGCCCAUUGUGUACAAAACCUGAUAUCAUCACCAGCCAUGCCAACUCAUGCUUAUGAGGCAUAACGUUAAAUAUUGCAAGUGCAUCAUCAAUGUGACCACAAUUUACAUACCCUGUCAAGAUGGAGUUCCAUGAAACAGGAUCUUUUCUUUCAAUAUCAUCAAAAAUUCUUUUUGCAACAUCGAUCUUUCCACACUUCGAGUACAGGGUGACCAAUACAUUCUCAACAGGUAAUGCUGAUACAGGAUUGAGAUCAGACCCUGAACGAAUGAUGUGAGCAUGAACAGCUUUUCCGUGAUUGAAAAGCCCGGCGCUCUCACAAGCACUGAGCACACUCGUGUAGGUGAAUUCAUCAAGCGGGAUGCCAAUUGACUUCAUCUUUCUAAACAUCUCCAAUGCUUCCAAGAAAAGCCCACAAUGCACAUACCCCGAAAUCAUCGCAUUCCAAACGACAUUAAACCUUCCUUCCAUGUCAUCAAAGACUUGACGAGCUUCAGUUAUAUCACCUCUCCUGACAUACCCGACAACCAUUGUGGUCCAAGUGAGCUCAUCUCUCUCGACCAUUCUAUCAAACACCUCCCGAGCAAUUACCGCUGUAUCAGGGGAAUCACACUUGAAGUACAGGGCAAUGAGGGCAUUCGAAACAGAGAUGGCGUGCUCCGUGCCGGACUUCACCACGGAGCAAUGGAGCUGCCCGCAGUGGGUGGGUUCCAGACCAAUGAUGGCGGCGGCGGCGCUGAGAACUCCGGUGAAGGUGUAGUCGUCCGGCCGGAAGCCAUCCUGGAGCAUCUCACAGAAGACGAGGAGAGCCGGCAGGCCGUUGCCGGCGCGGGCGUAUCCGGAGAUCAUGGCGUUGUAGAAGACAGUGUCGCGGGCGGGGAGAGGAGUGCGGUCGAAGAGGCAGCGGGCGAGGGGGAGGUGGCCGGCAGCGGCGUAGGCGUUGACGAGGGAGGUAGCGGCGACGGCGUCGGUGGGGGCAGGGGAGGCGGCGUCGAAGAGGCGGCGGGCAGACGGGAGGUCGCCGGCCUUGGCGUAGAGGUCGAUGAGGCGGUUGAGGAUGUGAGCACGGGGCUUGAAGCCGGACGCAAGUAUGUGGGCGUGGAGGGCGCGGAGGCGGCAGAGGAGGGGGGUGGGGCCGGUGGCGGCGGAGGCGGAGGCGGAUUUGUGGAGGGCGGCGGCGAGGAGUUGGAGGUGGGCGGCGAAGCGGUUGGCGAAUUUGGCGAUGUCGAAAGAUUGGAGGGGAAGGAGGGGAGUGGAGGGACGCGAAGGGGGCAUUCCCUCUCCUCUUUCGCGCGCGCGCGAAUGGGCUCAUCCAGUCCCGGGCCAAAAACUUGUCUUCCAGGGCAAGUAUGGUUGAUAGCUGCCGGCGUCGGAACUUAAAACUUGGUUUAAGAUGGCGGAAUUUGAAGGUGUGAGUGUGUGACUGUGAUAAUGAUAAAUGGAAACAUCUAAGGAUUAAGGGCAAGUGGAGAGAGGAGGACGAGAAGAAAAGCUAGCAGACAUAGGCUUGGAGAGAGAAACAAUACAGUAUAUAUCUAAUAUAAUAUAAUGUAACAUAGUAUGGUACUAUAUAGUAUAAUAUCUAGUAUAGUGUAGUAUAUUAGUGCAACUUUGUUUAGAAGCAACUUCCAUUAUACUUACAAACUUGUGUGUGUUAAGAAGCAAUAAUUUGUCUCUUUCACCCUGGCGUCGCUGUGUUUUCGUCAUCUCAAUUUUUUCAAAUUUUAUUAGUAAUAAUUCUUUUAUCAAGAGGUUUUAAGAGACUUGGUUUUGCUCUUUGCACUCGAGCGUGAUUGAUAUAGCUCUAGCAUUCUUUAUAAAAAGUUUUUGUAAACUCUUCUUUUCUAAUGUGUAUAUAUAUCGAGCGAGGACUCGAGGACCCCAACCUCAAUAUGCCCCAUAACGUUUUCUUGGCCUGAAAUCAUCUGUUAAGUUUCCUUCUUCGCACGAGUAGCAUGUGCAUGGGUAUAUUCUGAUUAAAAAUACAAGUGAUUCAGAGUUCUACAUGAACUUUGGGGUUUUUUUUUUUUUAAUUCUUUCCUGUUGCGUUGGCUUUCCUUAUCACUUGAUAUUCACAUCAAACGCAUUAAAUAUUCGAUGAUUUAAACAUUGUGAGAAAAUCUUUUGCGGAAAAUGUUGUUUACAUUGUUCUAAUUUGGAGCUCAUGCACUGCAGGAAAAUUAUAGCUUCAGCACUGAUAUCCGUCUUUGAAACAAAGGGCUUAGGAGGAGAUUAGUUGGCAAUUAUUUAAGGAUUGCUAUUUAAAAGACCAAGCUUCUCCUGCAUGGGCAUUAUAAUUGGAGACAUUCAAAAUAUCUAAGAAUUCUUUGGUUCACUCUUAUAUGACAACCUGGACUUUCAUGCUGAGAAGAUGUGGAUGGCAGAUACUCCAGAGUUUUUUUGAAUUCAAUUCAUGCAUAAAUUCUAACUCAACUACAUCAAUGUUUACAUCUUCCUAUUGAAAAAAAUGAAGAAAAAUAAAACUUGGUUAGAUCAUCAUUCAUGUGAUCUUAUCUUUUUUGUUCAGGGAGAUUGAAGACAUAUGGAUUUCUUUUAUCUAUUCUUUCUGUAUAGCUCAAGACACCUCAAUGCUCGAAAUUUGGUGAUCCAUUCUGAUCACUAUGAUGCUCAUCUCAGAGUUAAUAUUUUGGAAUAUCUUUAUUGCUUAUUGGAAGAAUGAUGAAAAGAUCAGAAAAUUCUGAAUGAAUCGAAGACAUGGAUUUGCGCCACUCUCCUCAUCAUUUGCAAUGAGCAGAGGCUCGACUUCAGCUCUGAAUGGUGGCUUUCCAAUCAUUAAUCUAAAUUGGUCUCAGAAAAAUAGUGCUUCCCAAGAAAGAACAAGAAAUCAAUCAAAGAAGUAGAGAGGGAAGAUGA
rnacentral:lncRNA from 1 species